GGGGUGGUGGUGAAGCAGGGGCUUGUGGCCCACUGGCCCAGCCCCUGAGGUGGAACUUGGCGUAGAUAUUUUUGAUAUUUUCCAAAACUGCUCCCCGUAAAUUAUCAAGACGUUUGAGAACUUUGAUUUCUCCACAAAAAUAACACCAAGGCAAUUCUGCUGAAAACAAUGUCAGUCCAGGUUAGUUCCAUUCAAAUCAUGCAAACUGGAGUCCAAAACAAGGGCAAAAGAGUUUGGAAAAGUAGAUAUGAUGGAGACGUAUCAACUCCCCCAAGCUUAAAACCUUGCCUGUGCUCAAGCAACUCAGUUGACAAACUGAGAGAGAAAGAAAAACUUUGAAAAACUCUAUUUGAUCCCCCUCACUGGCAUUUUUAUUCAGCCUCCUUGCUAUUAUAGCUCCCAUAUUGAAGCUCGUGUCACCUGUUAAUGCGCUCUUAAGGAUACUAAUGUCGGAAGCGCAUAGGUGACAAUGUGCACCCUUGCCGUUAAUGCAGCUACCUAUGAAGAGGGCAUGGUAGUGCAAGGCAGGGAACUGGAUGCUUCCUAUGGUGGCUUGCGUGAUAUCUCUGGUUUUUCCAACAGUUAUACUGGAGACAAAGUCUCUGACCGAAGACUUAGGAGGAUCAUUAACACUACCCCCAUCGGGUAUCUUGCAAAUCCUAUUUAAAUCCUCCAGAUCCACGGUAUAUGAUUUAUCGUACAAGUCAAACAGUAUGGAUGAUUCACGGCCAGCUAAAAAUUUAAAUCUACGCACGAAAGAGGCAGUGAGCAUAGCAUACUGUUCACAUUUAUCUGAGAGGAAUUCUUCUAACCCGACAUUGCGGACAAGUGCAUCAAACUCAUCCUUGAAGCCUGCUUCGAUCAUGAACUCAUCGGAAGGCCAUUCACAUGGUUGCACCGGUGCGUCCCUUAGUUGAAAAGGUCCGGGCUCCCGAAAGGAGAGACGAGGACCCUUCUUACUUGAGGAACCACCAUGAAACUUCCUCCUGAACAUAAUUUCCUUAUGCUGAAAUUUUUGAAGUUCAAGAGAAAAGUGAAUAAAGACCCACCACACCUUGUAGCAACUACUCCUACUAGUGCCUAGAGACCGUAUCACACUCUAAAACUACUUGGGACCAAUUAAAAUCAACUUUUCUAGCUCAAGAACAGGGUCACCAAGGUAGCAAGAAUUCACGAAGGAUAAAGAACUAGAGCAAAAACUAAUUGGACCAAUGGAGGAGUCACUUACCAAGGAGUAAUUUCACCAAAAUGGUUCGGAGAAUGGUGCUUUGAGCAAGGAGAUCGAAGAUCACAACCAAAUGAGCAAGAACACGGGUUUGAGCUGCGAAACAAUUUUUUCUGGAGGUGGAAGAAGAGGCUGGGAGCUGGAAUGAGUGGAGGGGGUGCCUGUGGGCCCCACAAGCUUGCACCCCGCCACCAGGGGGGUAGGUGGCGGUGGGGGGGCUUGUGGCCCACUGGUCAGGCCCCCAGGCCAGCUCUGAGGCCCAGAAAUUUUCAAAAGUUCCAGAAAAAAUCAUACUAAAUUUUCAGGACCAUCGGAGAACUUUUAUUUUCGAGGUAUUUUUCUCCGGGACGCUAAAACAGAAAACAGGAAAUGCUAAACUAAUUCUAUCAUUUUUCUUCUAAGCAACAGAAAAGGAAAGCUUAAAACAGAGGUAUGUGACUCUUUGAUUCAUUCCUUUCAUGGUCAUCGAAAGAAAACCGUCAAUGGGAUUGAUCAAGUCCUUAUGACAAAACUUUCUCGAAUCACAAGAGAGAAUGGAGAAUUUUCGAAUAGCCACUAAGUCAGCUCAAUGGGGAUAUGUAUCUCCCCAACAAGCAAAUCAUACUUCAUCUUGACACGAGGAAUAGGGCAUUCAAAGCUCCCAAUGAGAAUCGAUGAAGUCUUUUCGAUAGCAUUGAUGCAAUAUACUGGAUAUCGUUUCUUCGGAAAGUGCACCGUGUGCUCAUUACCGUUGACUUGGAAAGUGACAUUGCCUUUGUUGCAAUCUAUAACAGCCCCUGGAGUGUUUAAAAAGGGUCUUCCGAGGAUGAUAGCCAUUGCAUCGUCCUCGGGAAUAUCCAAGAUAACAAAGUCUGUUAAGAUAGUGGUAUUAGCAACCACAACAUGCACAUCCUCGCAAACACCGAUAGGGAAAGCAAUUGAUUUGUCGGCCAUUUGCAGAGAAAUUUCGGUGGGUGUCAACUUAUCCAACUCAAUUCUACGAUAAAGAGAGAGUGGCAUAACACUAACACCAGCUCCAAGGUCACAUAAGGCAGUUCUUACGUAGUUUCCUUUAAUGGAGCAAGGUAUAGUGGGCACUCCGGGAUCACCAAGUUUCUUAGGAGUUCCACCUUUGAAAGUGUAGUUGGCAAGCAUGGUGGAUAUCUCAAGAUCUGGUAUCUUCCAUUUAUUAGUCACGAUAUCUUUAAUGUACUUGGCAUACGGAGACAUCUUGACCAUAUCAGUUAACCGCAUCUGCAGAAAGACGGGUCUUAUCAUCUCAACGAAGCGCUCAAAAUCGUCAUCAUCCUUUUUCUUGGAUGGCUUAGGAGGGAAGGGCAUAGGUCUCUGAACCCAUGGCUCUCUUUCUUUACCAUGCUUCCUAGCAGUGAAGUCAUUCUUUUCGUAUUUCUUAGGUUGUGGAUUAUCAGGAUUAACCGCAGGUUCAAUCUCCACAUCCUCAUCAUGGCUAGGUUGAGCAUUAUUAUGAACAUCACUGUCCACAUUGUCACGAGGUUCAUGUUCAUCACCUGAUUGUGUUUCUCCAUCAGACGCAGAAAUAUCAUUAGAUUUUUCAGGUGUGACAGUAUUUGGUGAACUGGCGUGUAGGUUUCUAUCAUCCUUCUUCUUCUCCUUAGGAUGAUUGGGUGUAUCAGCAUUGAUUCCUUGAGAAUCUUGAUCAAUUCUCUUAGGAUGACCUUCAGGAUACAAAGGUUCCUGAGUCAUUUUGCCUCCUCUAGUAAUGACUCUCACAGAAUUGUCAUUUAAUUCAUUGAGCAAGUCAUUCUGAGCUUUAAGUACUUGUUCUACCUGAGAAGUAAUCAUAGAGGCAUGUUUACUCAGAAGCUUCAGAGCAUUGACAUUUCUGUCUACACAAGCACUUAAAUGGCUAAGCAUACAAGAACUUUGUUCCAAAUGUGUGCUAACAUAACCAUUGAAACUCUGUUGUCUGGCAACAAAGUUGUCAAAUUCAUCAAAGCAUAGGCUAGCAGGUUUAUCAAAAGGAAUAUCACUCUCAUCAAACCUACGAGAGAAUUCACUUCUACUACUUGUAUCGGGUUAUCGAGACCAUGGAUCUCUUCGGUAGGUGGUAGAUUUUUGACAUCUUCAGAUCUAAUGCCUUUCUCUUGCAUAGAUUUCUUGGCUUCUUGCAUAUCUUAAGGACUGAGGAAUAGAAUACCUCUUUUCUUAGGAGUUGGCUUAGGAGGUGGUUCGGGAAUAGUCCAACCAUUAUCGUUGAUUAAGAAGUUAUUCAGUAGGGUCUCAUCUUGUUCUACAGUUCGUUCCCUAAAAACACAACCGGCACAACUAUCUAGGUGGUCUCUAGAGGCAUCGGUAAGUCCGUUAUAGAGGAUAUCAAGUAUCUCGUUCUUCUUAAGAGGGUGACCAGGCAAAGCAUUCUAUAGCUGGACGAGCCUCCCCAAGCUUGUGGAAGACUCUUUUCUUGGAGUUGAGCAAAGUUGUACAUUUCCUACAAGGCAGCUUGCUUCUUAUGGGCAGGGAAAUAUUUCUCACAGAAGUAAUAGACCGUCUCCUCGGGACUACACACACAUCCAGGAGCAAGAGAGGUGAACCAGGCUUUAGCAUCAUCCUUUAGAGAGAAAGGAAACAGCUUAAGGAUAUAGUAGUGGCGGAUCUUCUCCUCAUUAGUGAAGAGGUUGGCUAUUUCGGAUAGUUUGGCAAGAUGGUCUAUGACCGUCUCAGACUCAUAACCGUGAAAAGGAUCAGAUUCGACUAGAGAGAUUAUCUCAGGGUCGACAGAGAAUUCAUUAUCCUUAUCGGUGACAAAGAUAGGCGAAGUGGCAAACUUCGGGGCAUUUUUCAUCCUAGCUUCCCGAGAUUUUUCUUUCCACUUGAGAAGUAAUUUCUGAGCGUCAUAGGCAUCCUUACACGCAAGAAAAUCCGCAGCUAUCUCUCCCUCCAUAAUGUAACCCUCAGGUAUAUCAGGCAAUUCAUAUCUAGGAGAGCUAGAUCUAGCAGGAGCAAAAGCAUGUUCUAUCUCAAUAGUAUCGGCAGUGUCAAAAGCAUCACGAGCAUUGGCAGUAACUCUAGCAAUAUGAGCAUCAAGGAACACUCCUAGUGGAACAUCAGGCAAAGUAGUAUCUCUAGCAGUAUCAAGCAUAGCAUCAUCCGGCAAAAUAGCAUCUCUAGCAUCAUCAGGCAAAGCAGUAUCAAGCAUAGCAUCUCUAGCAGUAUCACGCAUAGUAUCAUCAGGCAUAGUAUCAAGCAUAGCAUCUCUAGCAGUAGUAUCACAAGAAUCAUCAAGCACAUGCGACAUAUCAAGAUUUCUAGCAGGAGGUGAUGUCGCAAACUUACUCAUAACUAAAGGUGAAUCAAGUGCAGAGCUAGAUGGCAAUUCCUUACCUCCCCUCGUAGUUGAGGGCAAGACUUUGGUUUUCAGAUCCUUCAGAUUCUUCGUAGUGAUCAGCUGAUAUAAAUCCCAAUUAACUCAGAGAAUAUAGCAAUACCUCCCCGGCAACGGCGCCAGAAAAAUGCUGAUCUGCAAUCUUUGGCGUUAGCUAGACGAAUGCUUAUGACAACAUACCCUUUCCUGCAACGGCACCAGAAGAAUGCUGAAAGCACUCCCCAGUAAUGAGACUAGAAGAAUGUUGUUGAUGGCCCACCAGCGCGUGGGUUCACAGCAGUUUUCGAGGGUAGAGUAUUCGACCCAAUUUGUUGAUCGCCUAAAGGAGGUGAGAGAAUACUCUCGAGUAUUAGCAGCUGAAUUUGUCAGAUUCAACCACACCUGAAAGAUUAGUAUCUGCAAGCACAAUAGUAACAACAAAGUAAUAUGAUAACAACGGUGUCAGAAACGAUCUGUUGACGUUAGACUAUUCCUAACGAUUGUAUCAAUGGCGCCUCCGUUGCCGCGUUGACGGAAGUUGUCAAUUCCCGUCAAUGGCCAGCGAACCAACAGUGUAGCAGGUAGCAGCAGUGUAACGAGCAAUAACAGUGGCAAGGAACAACAGUAGUGACAGAAGUAGCAAGUAGCAACAGUAGCAAGCGACAGUAGUAGCAACAAUAGCAGCAGUAGAAGCAGAGCAAGACAAGUAACAACAGUAGCAACAGUAGUAGCGGCAGCAGCAGAGCAAGGCAAGUAAUAGCAGUAGCAACAGUAGUAGCAGCAGCAGAGCAAGACAAGUAACAGCAGUAGCAACAGUAGUAGGACAAACUCGUAGGCAGUGGGUCGGUGAUUUGUUUGGAUGAUAUUCAUCAUGCAACAGCUAUAACACGGAGAGAUAUGUGGCUAGCUCCCGUUCGUCAAUGUGAUGUAGGCANNNNNNNNNNNNNNNNNNNNNNNNNNNNNNNNNNNNNNNNNNNNNNNNNNNNNNNNNNNNNNNNNNNNNNNNNNNNNNNNNNNNNNNNNNNNNNNNNNNNNNNNNNNNNNNNNNNNNNNNNNNNNNNNNNNNNNNNNNNNNNNNNNNNNNNNNNNNNNNNNNNNNNNNNNNNNNNNNNNNNNNNNNNNNNNNNNNNNNNNNNNNNNNNNNNNNNNNNNNNNNNNNNNNNNNNNNNNNNNNNNNNNNNNNNNNNNNNNNNNNNNNNNNNNNNNNNNNNNNNNNNNNNNNNNNNNNNNNNNNNNNNNNNNNNNNNNNNNNNNNNNNNNNNNNNNNNNNNNNNNNNNNNNNNNNNNNNNNNNNNNNNNNNNNNNNNNNNNNNNNNNNNNNNNNNNNNNNNNNNNNNNNNNNNNNNNNNNNNNNNNNNNNNNNNNNNNNNNNNNNNNNNNNNNNNNNNNNNNNNNNNNNNNNNNNNNNNNNNNNNNNNNNNNNNNNNNNNNNNNNNNNNNNNNNNNNNNNNNNNNNNNNNNNNNNNNNNNNNNNNNNNNNNNNNNNNNNNNNNNNNNNNNNNNNNNNNNNNNNNNNNNNNNNNNNNNNNNNNNNNNNNNNNNNNNNNNNNNNNNNNNNNNNNNNNNNNNNNNNNNNNNNNNNNNNNNNNNNNNNNNNNNNNNNNNNNNNNNNNNNNNNNNNNNNNNNNNNNNNNNNNNNNNNNNNNNNNNNNNNNNNNNNNNNNNNNNNNNNNNNNNNNNNNNNNNNNNNNNNNNNNNNNNNNNNNNNNNNNNNNNNNNNNNNNNNNNNNNNNNNNNNNNNNNNNNNNNNNNNNNNNNNNNNNNNNNNNNNNNNNNNNNNNNNNNNNNNNNNNNNNNNNNNNNNNNNNNNNNNNNNNNNNNNNNNNNNNNNNNNNNNNNNNNNNNNNNNNNNNNNNNNNNNNNNNNNNNNNNNNNNNNNNNNNAGAGAAUUUACUUCUACUACCUGUAUCGGGUUAUCAAGACCAUGGAUCUCUUCGAUAGGUGGUAGAUUUUUGACAUCUUCAGAUUUAAUGCCUUUCUCUUUCAUAGAUUUCUUAGCUUCUUUCAUAUCUUUCAGGACUAAGGAAUAGAAUACCUCUUUUCUUCUGAGUUGGCUUAGGAGGUGGUUCGGGAAUAGUCCAAGCAUUCUCAUUGCACAAGAUAUUAUUCAAUAGGAUCUCAGCUUGUUCUACGGUUCGUUCCCUAAAAACACAACCAACACAACUAUCUAGGUGGUCUCUAGAGGCAUCUGUAAGUCCAUUAUAGAAGAUAUCAAGUAUUUCAUUCUUCUCAAGAGGGUGAUCAGGCAAAGCAUUCAGUAGCUGGACGAGCCUCCCCCGAGUUUGCGGGAGACUCUCUUCUUCAACUUGCGCAAAGUUGUAUAUUUCCUGCAAGGCAGUUUGCUUCUUAUGGGCAGGGAAAUAUUUCUCUGAGAAGUAGUAGAUCAUAUCCUGGGGGCUACAGACACAACCAGGAGCAAGAGAAGUGAACCAAGUUUUAGCAUCAUCCUUUAGUGAGAAAGGAAACAACUUAAUGAUAUAGUAGUGGCGGAUCUUUUCCUCACUAGUGAAUAGGGUGGCUAUAUCGUGCAGUUUGGUAAGAUGGGCUACAACCGUUUCACACUCAUAACCGUGAAAAGGAUCAGAUUCGACCAGAGUGAUUAACUCAGGGUCGACAGAGAAUUCAUAAUCCUUAUCGGUCACAAAGAUAGGCGAAGUGGCAAACUUCGGGUCGUAUUUCAUCCUAGCAUUCAUAGAUUUUUCUUUCCACUUGCGCAGUAAUUUCUCAACAUCAUAGCUAUCCUUACAAGCAAGAAAGUCCUCAGCUAUCUCUCCCUCCAUAGCAUAACCCUCAGGCAUAAUAGGCAAUUCAUAUCUAGGAGAGCUAGUUCUAAUAGGAAAAAUAGCAGGUUCUACUUCAAUAAUCUCAGCAGUUUCAGAAGUAUCAUCACAUCUAGCAGCAACUCUAGCAAUUUGUGCAUCAAGGAAUGCACCUAGUGGCAAAGCAGUAUCAAGCAUAGCAUCAUCAUAAGCAUCAUGGACAUCAGAAGUAGCAUCAUCAAGCACAGGCGAGAUAUCAAGAUUUCUAGCAGGAGGUGGUGUCCCAAACUUACUCAUAACUGAAGGUGAAUCAAGUGUAGAACUAGAUAGCAGUUCCUUACCUGUCCUCGUAGUUGAGGGCAAGACUUUAGUUCUUGGAUCUUUCGGAUUCCUCAUAGUGACCAGCAAACGUAAAUCCCAAGUGACUCAAAGAAUAUAGCUAUGCCUCCCCGGCAACGGCGCUAGAAAAUAGUCUUGAUAACCCACAAGUAUAGGGGAUCGCAACAGUUUUCGAGGGUACAGUAUUCAACCCAAAUUUAUUGAUUCGACACAAGGGGAAGCCAAAGAAUAUUCUCAAGUAUUAGCAGUUGAGUUGUCAAUUCAACCACACUUGAAAGACUUAGUAUCUGCAGCAAAGUAUGAGUAACAGAGUAGUGUGAUAGCAACAGUAGCAACAGUAACCAGUAGCAACAAAGUAACAGUAGCAGCAAAGUAACAGUGGCAGUAGUGACAACAGUAGCGGCAAAGUAACAUAGCAAGGACCAGUAGGAAAAACUCAUAGGCAUUGGAUCGGUGAUGGAUGAUUAUGCCAGAUGUUAUUCGUCAUGCAACAGUUAUAACACAAAGAGAUAUAUAACUAGCUCUAGUUCGUCAAUGUAAUGUAGGCAUGUAUUUCGUAUGUAGUCAUACGUGCUUAGGGAAAAGAACUUGCAUGACAUCUAUUGUCCAUCCCUCCCGUGGCAGCGGGGUCCUAAUGGAAACUACGGGAUAUUAAGGUUCUCCUUUUAAUAAAGAACCGGACCAACGCAUUAACACUUGGUGAAUACAUGAACUCCUCAUACCAUGGUCAUCUUCGGUAGUGGUUCCGGCUAUUGUCACUCCGUGGUUGCCGGGUCAUAACACAUAGUAGGUGACUACAACUUGCAAUAUAGGAUCAAGAACACACAUAUAUUGGCGACAACAUAAUAGGUUCAGAACUGAAAUCAUGGCACUCGGGCCCUACUGAUAAGCAUGAAGCGUGGCAAAGUAGUAUCAACAUCAAUCUCAGAACAUAGUGGAUACUAGGGAUCAAUCCCCGUUAAAACUAACUCGAUUACAUGAUAGAUCUCAUCCAACCAUCACCGUCCAGCAAGCCUACGAUGAGAGUACUCACGAACGAUGAAGAGCAUCAUGGAAUUGGCGAUGAAGGAAGGUUGGUGAUGACGAUGGCGACGAUCUCCCCUCUCCGGAGCCCAGAACGGACUCUAGAUCUUCUCUCUAGAGGAAGAACAGGAGGUGGCGAAAGGGAGUAAAUAGAGCUGAGAUUGGAGGUGGUGGAGCAACGUGGGCCCCACAUGCCUGCCAGGCACGGCUAGGGGGCCCCGCGCGUGGUGGGCUUGUGGGCUCUCAGCUCCACCCCUCCGGUUGAUUCUUGUGCCAGUAUUUUUUAUAUAUUCCACAAAAAUUCCCCGUAAAUUUCCAGGUCAUUCCGAGAAUUUUUAUCUCUGCGCAAAAACAACACCAUGGCAAUUCUGCUGAAAACAGCGUUAGUUCGGGUUAGUUCCAUUCAAAUCAUGCAAAUUAGAGUCCAAAACAAGGGCAAAAGAGUUUGGAAAAGGAGAUACGACGGAGACGUAUCAGGGCCCGGUACAAGUUGGACAAACUCAAAAGGAUCUUUUAUACGUACCCGAAUACGAGGGAGUUCAUGAGAUUUCUAGUAAUUGUUAUAUUACCACAUUAUCAUAUUAGCUUCCAAUCAAUUUGGUUGCAAGUUUUGUCAUAUUAGUAAACCAUCCACGUUCCUUUUGCAGAAAGAGCAGCACCAAAAGGCAGCCGAAAGCAAUGAGUCAUCAGAGUCGUCGGCGAGGCCCAAGUGGGACACCCCAUUCAACCAGGCCCUAAACAUACUGAAAAAUGUCCUGGUGGACAAGCCGCCAUCCUAUGGACGUGUGCACGUCGUCGGAGAUGGCGCCUCGUGGAAGGCGUGCUAUCCCGAGGGGCCAGAGGAUAAAAGGAAGAGACGGUUGGUCGUCACUCAGGAGAGCAUCGAUGAGAAGGUCGCGAUUGCGGUCAAUAAGACCAAAGCUGAGACCAAAGAAGAGUUGGUCGAUGUAGUAAGUGGGUUGGUCACUGACACGGUGGGCAGCUUGAUUUCGGCAAUUUUCAAUUGGUCAAAGAGCAAUCCAAAUGCACGGCCGGAGGACUACCCAAUUCUCAGCUAUGGCGCGAGCAACUUGGUGAACACCACAUCACCAACACCUGCCCAAGCAACCGCAAAAGGUCCCGUUCCUGUUCAUAGCAGCCGGACCUCCGUCUCUCGCAUGAUCGGAAGGCCUUCCUCGCUGGCUGAGCUCAACACCCUCACGGUAAUUACGCAUCAUACCCUUUUCACCGGCAUGUCUAUAGUCUUCCGUUUCAGUUGCCUUUCAGAUGUUUGAUGUCGCAGACAUGUCUCCUUCGUAGGCCGACGACACCUGUGCACCCUACUCUACGACAUCAAGGGCCAGAAGGUGGCUGUGGGAAAGGCAACCAUCGUGAAGCCGAAGGACCGCAUGUUCCACAACCGACAGAUGCCCGAUGGCGUCUUCAAGGUUAAUGUGGCCAGUGUCUUAGCGGGCUUCGAGAAUUUGCCUCCUCCGAUACCAGCCGGUGACGACGAGACCCCUACGCUUAUUGGCGGAUGCAAGAACUGGUUCUUGACUUGGCCGAAGUCUCUUAUUCGUCUCGAGGAGCCCAGUAUCACGCCAACGCCAAGUUCUCAAGAAUGUAUGAACACCAUCCCACCUACCAAAUUACCUGCACCUGUCGUGGUGGAUGAUGGUAGCGUACGACGUGAGGGAGAGCCUCCAUUAGUGCCACAUCAUGUCGCUCCUGCUGACGAAGAAGCAAAUGUUGAUGAUGACACGGAGGAUGAUGAUGAGGACCCGAACCGGUAUUUCAAUACUGACUAUGAUGGAUUGAUGGCUCAGGACGUCGAAGACUCAAGCUAUGACCGUGGAGAUGAUGACUUGAUGCUGCCUGAUUUGCCGGAGCUGGAACGUCCUAAAGCGGAAUUGAAAAAGUCUCUCUUCAAGCCAUCCUCGCAGGAGACGCCUCCAGAUGCCGCCUCUACCCAACAACCCCCCGAGGCCCGUCCACUGUUUAGCCCGAGGACACUUGGGGUGGUGGUUAGGGAAGGUAUGGUGGGCUCACUACCUCCACCCCCAAGAAGCAAAGGAAGAGAUCGACCAAAAGACCUAAAGGCGCCAUAGGUGAUUCAAGAAGCCAACCGCCUCUGAAACCCUUGGUGGUAGAAAGAAUACCUGUCGAAGGUAAGACGCGUGUCCACAUCGCCGGUGUCGUGAUUUUGUCACGACAGAUGUCCUCGUGAAAGGACUUAGAGAUGGAGCCAUCGCACCUUGGUGGCGACUUGAAGGGGGUGAGCAAAAGCGAGACUCAGAUUUACCCAGAUUCGGCCCCUUGUGAGGAGGUAAAAGCCUACGUACUGCUUUGUGUGGAUUAAUGGUGGUUUCGAUUACAAGGAGGGCGUAACUCGCCUGACCUAGCUCUCGAUUCUAACUCGCCUGACCUCUCCCUGGGACUCACCUUUAUAUACAGGUCGAGGCCCUAGGGUUUACAUAGUCCUGCCAUGCUACUCCUUUUGGCUUUCCUUAUCUCUAAGUCGCCGUGUCCUCCAUGAUCAGGAGCUUUCUUGGUAAUCCAUCAUCCGCACGACCUCUUGAACCGCCAUCCAGCUUCUGGGACACGGGACGCACCGUAAAUGGUAAGUUGCCCCUUUGGCGACCCGACCCACUAAGGGCGGGUUACCCGCAGGUAAUAUCCCCAACAUUAGGCCCCAGAUUGUCCUGAAUUCAUUCAUGUCAAUAAACCUCCACCAAUUUGGGGCAACUCUUACCAUUUCUAUCCUUUGACGAACGAUAAGUUGCCACCCGUUGUAAUUUAAUUUGAGUCACCGUGUAGUCUUGGAUGACAUCACCUCAUCCCCUUAGUUCCGAGGCUUUUAACAUUGCCACCAUCAGCGGAUCUUUCAUUCAUAAUCACUUAUCCCGAAAAUCUAGGCGCCAUCAUUGCAGUCUCUGACUUGUCGCCUCGAUCUCCACCUUGACAGCCUCAAUUUCUGUUCCUUCCCUUUAAAUAACAAGAGGAGAAAUGGGGGGGGGGGAGGAAGCCCCGUCACCUACCUCCAUCUCUUCCUCGUCUUCCUCGUGCUCUUCCUCUUCGAGCACCAGCGCCACGGCGUCGUCACCGGCUCCUGGAGCUCCUCCAUCGACCGUGGUUUUCCGAGCGCCAAGAAGCACGGAGUACUGCGCCUUCGUCCCCGGCACCGAUCUCCAUUUCCAGGUACACACAUUCCCCUAUUAGGGUUAGGCCGAGAACACCAUGACCAUUGGUUCCUGUGAGCUAGAUUCCGUGACGCGACGAACGCCCUUACCUGCCUUACAUCCAUUUCAUAUUUCCGCAAUAGACUUUAGGCAGUAGCAAACUACGACGACUUUAUCACGUCUUUUCGUUAGCUUAAACCUUCAUGCCGUAGAUCCAAUGCUGUCACUGUCUUAUGCCCAUAGCUUUCUACCAUUAUUUCGAGCAAUAUCCCUUUAUUUUGCUCCACUCGUAGAUCCAUAGUUUACUGCGUGUUUUUAGAAACAUGUUUGCUCGUCUCUCGAGAAUAUCCCUAAGGAAAAAGAACCCCUGAGAGUCGCCGCUUUAGCUCCAGCUUCCAUAGCGACUUAAAUUUAUCACCAUAGCUAUGACCCUUCUUUUUCCAAUUUGGAGGGCGAGUUACAAUACUUCAAAGAUACUUCCAUGAAUCGCCCGAAUAGCGGGUUAUGAUGUAUGUCACCCAUUUGGCGAGUCACCAAAUCCUUUUCGAACAUACCGUAGACCCAUACUGGCGAGUUAGAAUACUUUAUAGUUGUUACUGAAUCGCCUCGUUACCCUCUUUUGUAGUCAUGGCCAUUACGAAGUGCGACUGGUUACCGACAAAUAUCGAUGAUGCCACUCUUGAAAAGUUUGUUAAGGCGGGUCUUCUUGACAAUAAGGAAACCAUUGGUUGGAGAACCGCCCCGGAUGAGUUGACUCCCAACCCCGCUGCAGGAGAAGUAGUCAUCUUUACUGAUUACCUCGAACGAGGUUUUAAACCGCCCGGGUCAAAGUUUUUUCGAGACGUCAUGCAUUUCCUUAAUGUUCAUACUCAAGAUCUGGGACCCAACUCCAUCAGCAACCUGUGUCAGUUCCAGGUCUUUUGUGAGGUAUAUUUGCAGAGAGAGCCCAUUGUUCCUUUAUUUUGGAACUUCUUCCAUUUGAAUCGCCAGACCGAGUUUCCCAACGGUCCGAACCAUGAACUUGGAUGAGUCAACAUUCAAAGAUGCUGCGAGCGUGAAUUUCCAACAGUCCUUCUUCCCAGCCAUCCCAAGGGCUGGCCGAGUCAUGGUUUUAUUGCCGGGAUACCUCUCCACCUAGCGAAAACCCUCUUCCGGGCUUCAGAGCAGAUCGCCUGCCCAUGGACUUGAAACUUCCUGAGAAGCUCAUAGAAGAAGAAGACUCGGAGUUUAUCCCCAUUUUCUCCGAGUUGAAGUCUUUGACCAACAACUGGCUCAUCGGGAUUGAUCUAUUCUGCUGCUAGAUAGAGUGGAACAUCCUUCCCUUGAGUUGCCGAGACGGGCUGAUGUAUGAAUAUGAUGGUACGGUAGACCAUCCGCAGUGCUUCAAUCGCAAAAGACUCUCGGAGAGUAAAAUUGUCGGAAUCAUCAAGAAACAAACCGGUGAGACCUUGGAAGAAUGUGCCAAGAUUGGGCUCAAGGCCUUCUGCCACUCCAACCUGGUGCUGCCAGUAAGAAUCCAAGCCGCCUUUCGUCUUUUUUAUGCUUAACAAUGCUCUUGAUUUGAAAUUCGCUUCCAUUCAUCAGAAAACUGAUCCAUUUUGGUGAAGGGUCCCCAAGUGACCGCACAAAAGACCACCAAGCCGCCACCAAAAAAUAAGAAGAAGGCAAGCAAAAGUAAAGCCGCCACCAAAGAUUCAUCUUUUGUUGGCGAGUCACAAGCUGACGAAGCGCAUUCAUAGGUAAGGCUUCCCCCUCACUCAUUAUCUAUGUAUUCUGACUUAUGUUUAUACCAUGCAUCUUUAUGUGUAGGGCGAGGACAAUGAGAGCCAAGAUGACGCGGUCGAGGUAAUUUCCAUUUCUUUUGACUCACCUUCUCCUUCUCCUUCUCCUAGACCAGCCAGGCGGAUCUGUGUAAAAGUGCCCAUGUCUCACCCAUAUGCUUAUAUGGACCCUGAUUUCCUUUUCAAGAAAGCAAGAUAUACCCCCAAGCGCAAGACCCGUAGUCGCUCUCGCGACUUAAUCACCGGACCGCCUGAGAAGACAACCGGUCGGAAACGCACCAGCGAGGUACACUUUUGUUUUAUCAUACCCUUUCUUGUGUAAAUUGUGACUCGCCACUUCUUUAACUUCAAGCCUUUGUUCUAUCAGACUUCUCCCCCUACAUCUGGCGACUCGGCAAUAUCAGCUCUCCCGCCGAUGAUUCGUGUACAAGGGUGAGUCUUUUUGUUAAUCCCAAUUUCUUCUAAACAAUGAUAUGUGCUUUUAAUGUUGGUGCCUUUGUCUCAGAGCACAAGCAAAGAGGAGGAAAACCGGCGACCCAUCUUCUGCUCCCAAAAUAACUGACGCCUUAGGCACGAGCACCUCUGUCCCAGAGAUUGAUGAAGAGCAAGUGGUGGAUCAUGAUAUUCCUGUGGGCGACAUUCCCGAUGCCCGAGAUGACUCGCCCGUAAUUUUGAAGGAAACCGCUGAUAAGGUUAACCCGCCAAGUACUCUCAAGGCGACUGAAGAUCCAGACGACGUCGUGGUCACCGGUGCUGGCUAUUCCACUCCUUCGGUUGCAGUACUUUCCAAGCAUACCUCCAAGGAGUCUCGCCCUUCUCCUGAUCAAGACACAAAUAAAUUCGAGCUCCCUCAGUAUGAGAAGCUGGAAUUCGACCAACUUUGUUCUCGCUUCAUAAGUCAUCUGGAGAGGGAUUAUGAGAUGAACAAGAGCUUGAUUCAUCUUAUGAGGGUUAGGCAUGAGGUACGCCUGUUUAUGUAUUUUCUUUCACCCAUUAGCCUUCCAAGGGCCGGCUCAUCUUUUGAAAGAUGAGCCGGGUCAUUGAAUAUAAUAAAAAUAUUCAACUUGUAGCCCCCAAGGGUCGGGUCAUCUUUGGAAAGAUGAGCCGGGUCUUGAAUAAAUAAAAAUCUUCAACCUGUAGCCCCCAAUGGCCGGGUCAUCUUUUGAAAGAUGAGCCGGGUCUUGAAAAAAUCUCCAACCUAUAGCCCCCAAGGGUCGGGUCAUAUUUUUAAAGAUGAGCCGGGUCUUGAAAAAAUCUUCAACCUGUAGCCCUCAAGGGUCGGGUUAUCUUUUUAAGGAUGAGACGGGUCUUGAAAAAAUCUUCAACCUGUAGCCCCCAAGGGCCGGCUCAUCUUUUUAAAGAUGAGCCGGGUCUUGAAAAAAUCUUCAACCUGUAGCCCCCAAGGGUCGGGUCAUCUUUUGAAAGAUAAGCCGGGUCUUGAAAAAAAUCUUCAACCUGUAGCCCCCAAGGGUCGGGUCAUCUUUUUAAAGAUGAGCCGGGUCUUGAAAAAAUCUUCAACGUGUAGCCCCCAAGGGCCGGGUCAUCUUUUGAAAGAUGAGCCGGGUCUUGAAAAAAAAUCUCCAACCUCUAGCCCCCAAGGGCCGGGUCAUCUUUUGAAAGAUGAGUCGGGUCUUAAAAAAUCUUCAACCUUUAGCCCCCAAGGGCCGGGUCAUCUUUUUAAAGAUGAGCCGGGUCUUGAAUAUGGUAUGAUUUCGAAGAAAAUCAUACAUUAGCCCCCAAGUAUCAGGAGUAUUGCUUGCAGUAAUGUUGAAACUUGUCUCCCCAAAUUUGAUGUGCAGGAGUGUGUGACCCAGAUUGAGUCGGCUGUAACCGACUUAAGAAAAAAUCUGGCUGAACAACAAGACGCCCAAUCCGAGUUGGAAAGGAAAUACCACUUAAUUCAGGCUGAGCUGGAGAAGAUGAAAACUAACCAGCAAAAAUUUGAGAAGAAAGCCAAAGCUGACCAAGCCUCCAUUCUGAAGCGUGCUGAGCAGGCUGAGGAAAAAUUGGAAGCCGCCCAGCAAGAGCUUUCCAGCUUAAAGAAACAUAUUUCCAAUAUGACUGUCGCUAUGUUUGGUAAGCGUUAACCAUGGACCGUUGACUAAUUAAUCUGGUAUCGAAAAUUAUCAAAUACUGAUAUGCACUUUGCAGGUGCACAAGCCGCCAAUCUUACAGACGUCUGCCUGCUGAAGUUAAAAGCUAUAUAUACCUUGGCUGAGCAGCUAUACACCGGGGGCGUGCUGACGAUUAAAGUGGUGAUGGGAAGCAAGGAGCCAAUCAGAACCAUCAAGCACAUGCUCGGCUUUCUGUCCACAUUGCCUCCUCAGAUAGAGGAACUGAAAAAGGUCAGCCGCCUGGAAGGGAGUCCUGAACACCCUGAGCCGGUGCUUAGCCUAUGCCUCGGAGCUCAAACUAUAAGAAAUAGCCGCCGGCUACCCCGAGCUGAAGGAUGACGGGUCAGAAUUCACCGAGGUGGACUAUCACCGAGUUAUCAUAGAAUCUCGCUAUGUGGCGACUCAACUGGCAGCCAGCUUGGAUUUGAGUAAAUACCAAGCUGCCUAUGACGAGAAGAAAAAGAAGGUGACACCUCCCUCAUAUGAAACUGCUAGCUUGGUUCCUUGCCGACCCAAGAAUCCUUUUGAUCUUGACAUGGACCUAUCUCUCUUCCUUGAUGAUGAAGACGAGUUCGUAGCCCUGUCCAAGUGUAAUUGGAAACUGGGCGACUUACGAAUCAAAGGCGGGGAGAGCUCAAAGCAAGGUGACUCGGCGGCGGCCUGAUUCGUCCAUGGAUCCUUUCUUCACUGGGGGAUGACACCCAUUUUGGCCAUGCGAUCCAUGUAAUAGCUUUGUUAGUGUUUGUGGAAAAACAAUCAGUCAGUAGUACCUUUUGAUGGAACCACUUUUAUUCCUUGAAUAUAUGCAUGACUCGCGUGCAAGUUUGAUGAACCAGGGAAUAUCAUAAGUUGACAAACAAGUUUUCAGCUUAUGUGUAAGGAAAAACACCAGCCGACUCACUGAGUGCAUGGCAAAGAAUAGACCAGCCCCCUGGAUUAUGCUAAAAAAUAGAUCAGCCCCCGGGUUAUGUCAAAAAAUAGAUCAGCCCCCGGGUUAUGGCAAAUAAUGGUUAAAAAAUGAGUUGGGGUGAGUUAUAAUCAAAAGCCGACUCAAAUAUAUUAUGGAACCUUGUGGUCUUUCCAUCAAGAAAGAAAAUUUUAUCGACUCAGUGAGUUACGAUAGGAUAAGACGAGUUUGCAAAACUCUAGUGUUACCCUUAGAAAGCUUUUGCAAAAAGCCUUGUUGUUUUAGACCGGCUAAUUAGGUGCGAGUCAAGUUAACGUGAAGUAGGUUCAAUGAACCAAUGGUUUCUCUAUUUCCCAUGUGUGACUCUGGCCGAUACCUUUUAUGUUUUAACCAAGGCAAGUUCAGGGUCCAAAUAACGGAUUGACUCGCCCUGAGUACAUAGGUCCAUGUGGCGACUUGUUCAACACACAGUCUAGUAUAACCAUUUGUAAUGCGGUAAUUUUUCGCUACCCAAGAGGGUAUUCAGGCUAAACUCAAUGAGUGGAAGCCCCCAAGUGACCUAUGAUUCAGGAAGAAACCAGGCAUAGGAUCACAGAAGCGUAUACACUCUUACUACGAAAUGACUUGGGGACUAGUAGCCUCCAAGUAAGCCGGCUUAAUUCUCAAAACCAUAUAAGACGCCUAUGUUUGAACCGUGCAACGUGGCAACAUUGGUCCUCUUUGGCUUUAUCAAAGCCCAGUUUUGAAGUAAGUGCAACAUGGCGACUUACGCUCUUUGACUUUGAUAGCGUCCAUGUUUGGGCGAAUUAUAGAACAAUAAAGACUCAUGCUUUGAAAAGCUGAAAUGGCAAGGGACCCCGAAGUUCCUGGGUGCCGGCUUUAUUGCUUUCAUAAUUCAUGGAUUACAAUUUUCUAAAAACUGGUAAAGAAAAAAGGGGGAGCUCAUGGCUCUAAGUGUAGUAAGGCCGCAGAUGGGAUAUGUUCCAGGGGCGAGUUGUCUCAACCUCUGUAGUUGGCCGAUCUGGGCGAAGAUCCACCAAGUAGUAUGAGCCGUUCCGAAGAUUCUUACUGAUGACAAACGGUCCUUCCCACGGAGGUGAUAGCUUGUGCAUACCAGUAUGAUCUUGAAUCAAACGGAGCACCAAGUCGCCUUCUUGGAAAGUCCGGCUUUUGACCCGACGACCGUGGUAACGUCGCAAGUCUUGUUGGUAAAUCGCCGAUCAUGAUGCAGCUAGGUCUCGUUCCUCCUCCAAGGCGUCCAGCGAGUCUUGUCGCGCCAGCUCAUUGUCCUGUUGCACGUAGGUGGCGACUCGUGGGGAAUCAUGUUAGAUGUCACUUGGUAACACCGCUUCUGCUCCGUAGACCAGAAAGAAAGGAGUAAAACCCGUGGAGCGGUUUGGAGUUGUCCUGAUAGUUCAUAGUACCGACGGCAACUCCUCCACCCAACAUCCUGGAGUGCUUCCAAAGGUACCAUGAGCCGAGGCUUAAUCCCCCGCAAUAUUUCCUGAUUCGCCCUUGAUGUGAACUGUUCUUCCCCUUUGCAACGGCACCAGAAGAAUGUUGUUAGCACUCUCCGCCAAUCGAAACUAGAAGAAUGUUGUUGACGGCCCACAAGCGCAUGGGAUCGUAGCAGUUUUCGAGGGUAGAGUAUUCAACCCAAAUAUGUUGGUUCGCACGACGGGAGGUGAGAGAAUACUCUCAAGUAUUAGCAGCUAAUAUGUCAGAUUCAACCACACCUGAAAGAUUAGUAUCUGCAAGCAAAGUAGUAACAACAAAGUAGCAAGUAACGACAGUGACAAGGAAUAGCGGUAGCGACAGCAGUAGCAAGUAGCAACAGUAGCAAGCGACAGUAGUAGCAACAGUAGCAGCAGAGCAAGGCAAGUAACAGCAGUAGCAACAGUAGUAGCAGCAGCAGAGCAAGACAAGUAACAUCAGUAGUAACAGUAGUAGUAGCAGUAAGACAAACUCGUAGGCAAUGGGUUGGUGAUUUGUUUGGAUGANNNNNNNNNNNNNNNNNNNNNNNNNNNNNNNNNNNNNNNNNNNNNNNNNNNNNNNNNNNNNNNNNNNNNNNNNNNNNNNNNNNNNNNNNNNNNNNNNNNNNNNNNNNNNNNNNNNNNNNNNNNNNNNNNNNNNNNNNNNNNNNNNNNNNNNNNNNNNNNNNNNNNNNNNNNNNNNNNNNNNNNNNNNNNNNNNNNNNNNNNNNNNNNNNNNNNNNNNNNNNNNNNNNNNNNNNNNNNNNNNNNNNNNNNNNNNNNNNNNNNNNNNNNNNNNNNNNNNNNNNNNNNNNNNNNNNNNNNNNNNNNNNNNNNNNNNNNNNNNNNNNNNNNNNNNNNNNNNNNNNNNNNNNNNNNNNNNNNNNNNNNAUGUAGGCAUGCAUUCCAUGUGUCGUCAUACGUGCUUAGGGAAAAGAACUUGCAUGACAUCUAUUGUCCAUCCCUCCCGUGGCAGCGGGGUCCAAAAGUAAACUACGGGAUAUUAAGGUUCUCCUUUUAAUAAAGAACCGGACCAACGCAUUAGCACAUGGUGAACACAUGAACUCCUCAAACUAUGGUCAUCAUCGGGAGUGGUUCCGGUUAUUGUCACUCCGGGGUUGCCGGAUCAUAACACAUAGUAGGUAACUACAACUUGCAAGAUCGGAUCUAAAACACUCAUAUAUUGGUGGCAACAUAAUAAUUUCAGAUCUGAAAUCAUGGCACUCGGGCCCUAUUGACAAGCAUUAAGCAUGGCAAAGUAGUAGCAACAUCAAUCUCCGAACAUAGUGGAUACUAGGGAUCAAUCCCCAUCAAAACUAACUCGAUUACAUGAUGGAUCUCAUCCUACUCAUCACUGCCCAGCGAGCCUACGAAUAGAUUACUCACGAACGACGAAGAGCUUCAUGGAAUUGGAGAGGGAAGAAGGUUGAUGAUGACGACGGCGACGAUUUCUCCUCUCCGGAGCCCAAGACGGACUCCAGAUCUGCCCUCCAGAUGAAGAACACGUGGUGGCGCCGCCUCCGUAUCACAAACACGACGAAAACUUCUCUCUUUAUUUUUUCUGGGACGAAAGGGGACUUAUAGAUGUGAGGUUGGGGGCGGCAGAGCUGUGUGGGCCCCACAAGCCUGCCCACCGCUACCAGGGGGGUGGUGGCGGAGUCAGGGCUUGUGGCCCACUAGCCCACCCCCUCAGGUGGAACUUGGCGCAUAUAUUUUUUAUAUUUUCCAAAACUGCUCCCCGUAAAUUUUCAGGACGUUUGGAGAACUUUGAUUUCGGCACAAAAAUAACACCAAGGCAAUUCUGCUGAAAACAGCGUUAGUCCAGGUUAGUUCCAUUCAAAUCAUGCAAAUUAGAGUCCAAAACAAGGGCAAAAGAGUUUUGAAAAGUCGAUACGAUGGACAUGUAUCAACUCCCCCAAGCUUAAAACCUUGCUUGUCCUCAAGCAACCCAGUUGACGAACUGAGAGAGAAAGAAAAACUUUGACAAACUCUAUUUGAUCUUGUUGUUGCAACUAUGUCUAACUCAUAACCAGAAUUUCAGCAAGAUCACAAGCUAACCACAUAAGCAAAUGACACAAAGGUCUCACGGUAAACUAAUAUCAAUGGCAUAAUCAACUAACGAGCAAAUAAUAAUGAGUUUCAAAUACCAACACUUCAAUCAAAACAAGCAUGAAGCAAUAUGAAUAGGUGGUAUCUCGCUAGCUCUUUCUGAGACCGCAAAACAUAAAUGCAGAGCACUUUCAAAGAUCAAGGGCUAACUAAACAUUGUAAUUCAUAGCAACGAAGAUCCAGUCAUUGUCAUACUCAAUAUCAAUCAAAAGCAAAGCAUAAAAAUGACAGAGGUGCUCUCUAAUUGGUGCUUAUAUAAGAGGAGGAUGACUCAACAGGAAAAUAAAUAGACAUGCCCUUCGCAGAGGGAAGCAUUGAUUUGGAGAGGUGCCAGAGCUCAAGCUUUGAAAACAGAGAUAAUAAUUUUGGGUGACAUGCUUUCAUUGUCAACGCAAUGACCAAGAGUUCUCAAUAUCUUCCAUGCUACUCAUGCUAUAGGCGGUUCCCAAACAGAAAAGUAAAGUUUUAACUCCCCCACCACCAAUAAUUCACACUCCACGGCUAGCCGAAUCCUCGGGUACCGUCCAUACUAACAUCAGUCCGGGGGGAGUCUUGUUUUACAGUUAUGUUUUCGAUUUAAGCGUGGAACUGGGCAUUCCAAUUACCGGCCCCUUUCUCGUGAAUAACAGUGAAUAAACACAUGUCGAGGAUAACACUCCUAGCAUGGAAGAUACCAAUAGCCCCCUGUCACCACAUGAGCGGUUUGGGCAUGCAAAACUGAUUAUUUCUUGAAGGUUUAGAGAAUGGCACAUGCAAAUUUACUUGGAACGACAGGUAGAUACCGGAAAUAGGUAGGUAUGGUGGACUGUCAUGGAAAACUUUUGGGUUUAUGGAAGUGGAUGCACAAGCAGUAUUCCGCUUAGUACAAGUGAAGGCUAGCAAAAGAUUGGGAAGCGACCAACUAGAGAGCGACAACAGUCAUCAAGAUGCAUUGAGUUUGACUAACAUUGAAUGCAAGCAUGAAUAGGAUAUAAAUCACCAUGAAUAUGAACAUCAUAGAGGCUAUGUUGAUUUUGUUUCAACUACAUGCAUGAACAUGUGCCAAGUCAAGCCACUUGAAACAUUCAAAGGAGAAUACCAUCCUAUCAUACUACAUCAUAGUCAUUGCAAACAUGGUUCUCUCACAACAAAGCUAAAUCUGGGUCGACAAGCUAGUCAUAUUUACAAAAACAAAAUAGAUAGAGUUCAUACAAGCUUUUCAGUCUCAAUCACUUCAUCAUAUAUCAUCAUUGUUGCCUUUCAUUUGCACGAUCGAACGAUGAAAACGAUAAUAAGCGCAUUGGACUAAGCUGAAUCUGCAGGCAAACACAAAGGAUAAGACAAAGUAAUAUGGCUCUUUGAAAGCUAAACAGGUAAGCAUGUAAGAACCACUAAACAUCGUAACCAAUAUCUUCUACCUCGACACAAAUAAAAAGAAAACUAUUUACACAGGAAAGCUCCCAACAAGCUAAAGAAGAAAGAAAAAUCUUUUUGGGUUUUCUCAAAAGGACACAAAACAAGAAAACAAGAAAACGAAAAUAAACUAGCAUGGAUAAUACAGUGGCAAAGUGUAAACACUGGCUAACAAAGUGAAAGCAUAAGCAUGAAUGUAAAGUCGGUGAGAACACGUACUUCCCAAGCUUAGGCUUUUUGUCUAGCUUGAUCUACUCCCAUGGAUGAUCCCGGCGAAACCCAAAGUCAUAAUGGGUGUUAUACGGGAGUGCUGCAACCACUGCCUAAAUAGCUGCCUCACGAAGUCGAGCAGCCGUCGCCUCCCUCUCAUACUCCUCUGCCUCUCCUAUGGUUAUGUAGUAUCUUCGUUUUACCUGGAAGUCAAAAAAAGCAGGAGUAGGAAGGGUAAUAUGGAAAACACGAUGCCGGUUAAAUAUCAAGCGGUAUAGGAGGGAUCCAUGAUCUCUCUCAAGGAACUGGUAGCGUGUUAGAGCGACACGAUCAAGGUAUGCUGUAUGAAGAGGAGGGUCUUCUGGACGGAUGGGUACUCCAAGAAAAUUUGCUAAGCGUGUAGCAUAAACUACACCAAAGAAAUCCCCCUCACUGGCAUUUUUAUUCAGCCUCCUUGCUAUUAUAGCUCCCAUAUUGAAGCUCCUGUCACAUGUUACUACGCUCUUAAGGAUACUAAGGUCAGAAGCGCAUAGGUGACAAUGUGCACCCUUGCCGUUAAUGCACCUACCUAUGAAGAGGGCAUGGUAGUGCAAGGCAGGGAAAUGGAUGCUUCCUAUGGUGGCUUGCGUGAUAUCUCUGGUUUCUCCCACAUUUAUACUGGAGACAAAGUCUCUGACCGAAGACUUAGAAGGAUCAUUAACACUACCCCCAUCGGGUAUCUUGCAAAUCCUAUUGAAAUCCUCCAGAUCCACGGUAUAGGAUUUAUCGUACAGAUCAAACAGUAUGGAUGAGUCACGGCCAACUGAGAAUUUAAAUCUACGCACGAAAGAGGCAGUGAGCAUAGCAUACUGUUCACAUUUAUCUGAGAGGAAUUCUUCUAACCCGGCAUUGCGGACAAGUGUAUCAAACUCAUCCUUGAAACCUGCUUCGAUCAUGAACUCAUCGGAAGGCCAUUCACAUGGUUGCACCGGUGCGUCCCUUAGUUGAAAAGGUUCGGGCUCCUGAAAAGAGAGACGGGGACCCUUCUUACUUGAGGAACCACCAUGCAACUUCCUCCUGAACAUAAUUUCCUUUUUCUGAAACUUUUGAAGUUCAAGAGAAAAGUGAAUGAGGACCAACCAUACCUUGUAGCAACUACUCCUACUAGUGCCUAGAGACCGUAUCACGCGCUAAAACUACUCGGGACCGGCUAAAAUCAACCUUUCUAGCUCAAGAACAGGGUCACCAUGGUAGCAAGAAUGCGCGAAGGAUAAAGCACUAGAGCAAAAACUAAUUGGACCAAUGGAGGAGUCACUUACCAAGGAGUAAUUUACCCAAAAUGGUUCGGAGAAUGGUGCUUUGAGCAAGGAGAUCGAAAAUCACAGCCAAAUGAGCAAGAACACAGGUUUGAGCUGCGAAACAAAUUUUUUUGGAGGUGGAAGAAGAGGCUGGGAGCUGGAAUGAGUGGAGGGGGUGCCUGUGGGUCCCACAAGCUUGCACUCCAUCACCAGGGGGUAGGUGGCGGUGGCAGGGCUUGUGGCCCACUGGUAUGGCCCCCAGGCCAGCUCUCUGGCCCUGUAAUUUUCAAAAAUUCCAGAAAAAAUCAUACUAGAUUUUCAGGACCAUCGGAGAACUUUUAUUUUCGAGAUAUUCUUCUCCGGGACGCUAAAACAAAAAACAGGAAAAGCUAAACUAAUUAUAUCAUUUUUCUUCUAAGCAACAUAAAAUGAAAGCUCAAAACAGAGGUAUGUGACUCUUUGAUUCAUCCGUUUCAUGGUCAUCGAAAGAAAUCCGUCAAUGGGGUUGAUCAAGUCCUUAUGACAAAACCUCCUCGAAUCUCAAGAGAGAACGGAGAAUUUUCGAAUAGCCACUAAGUCACCUCAAUGGGGAUAUGUAUCUCCCCAACGAGCAAAUCAUACUUCAUCUUGACACGAGGAAUAGGGCAUUCAAAGCUCCCAAUGAGAAUCGAUGAAGUCUUUUCGAUAGCAUUGAUGCAAUGUACUUGAUAUUGUUUCUUCGGAAAGUGCACGGUGUGCUCAUUACCGUUGACAUGGAAAGCGACAUUGCCUUUGUUGCAACCUAUAACAGCCCCUGCAGUGUUUAAAAAGGGUCUUCCGAGGAUGACAACCAUGGCAUCGUCCUCGGGAAUAUCCAAGAUAACAAAGUCUGUUAAGAUAGUGGUGUUAGCGACCACAACAGGCACAUCCUCGCAAAUGCCGAUAGGGAAAGCAGUUGAUUUGUUGGCCAUUUGUAGAGAAAUUUCAGUGGGUGUCAACUUAUCCAACUCAAGUCUACGAUAAAGAGAGAGCGGCAUAACACUAACACCGGCUCCAAUGUCACAUAAGGCAGUUCUUACGUAGUUUCCUUUAAUGGAGCAUGGUAUAGUGGGCACUCCGGAAUCACCAAGUUUCUCAGGAGUUCCACCUUUAAGAGUGUAGUUGGCAAGCAUGGUGGAGAUCUCAAGAUCUGGUAUCUUUCGUUUAUUUGUCACGAUAUCUUUCAUGUACUUGGCAUACGGUGACAUCUUGAGCAUAUCAGUUAACCGCAUCUGCAGAAAGACGGGUCUUAUCAUCUCAACGAAGUGCUCAAAAUCCUCAUCAUCCUUUUUUCUUGGAUGGCUUAGGAGGAAAGGGCAUAGGUCUCUGAACCCAUGGCUCCUUUUCUUUACCAUGCUUCCUAGUAGUGAAGUCAUUCUUAUCGUAUUUCUUAGGUUGUGGGUUAUCAGGAUUAACCGUAGGUUCAGUCUCCACAUCCUCAUCAUUGCUAGGUUGAGCAUUAUUAUGAACAUCACUGUCCAUAUUGUCACCAGGUUCAUGUUCAUCACCAGAUUAUGCUUCUGCAUCAGACGCAGAAAUAUCAUUAGGUUCUUCCAGUGUGACAGUAUUUGGUGAACUGGCAUGUAGGUUUCUAUCAUCCUUCUUCUUCUCCUUAGGAUGACCGGGUGUAUCAGCAUUGAUUCCUUGAGAAUCUUGAUCAAUUCUCUUAGGAUGACCUUCAGGAUACAAAGGUUCCUGAGUCAUUUUGCCUCCUCUAGUAAUGACUUUGACAGAGUUGUCAUUUAAUUCAUUGAGCAAGUCAUUCUGAGCUUUAAGUACUUGUUCUACCCGAGUAGUAAUCAUAGAGGUAUGUUUACUCAGAAGCUUCAGAUCAUUGACAUUUCUGUCUACACAAGCACUUAAAUGGCUAAGCAUACGAGUACUUUGUUCCAAAUGUCUGCUAACAUAAUCAUUGAAACUCUGUUGUUUGGCAACAAAGUUGUCAAAUUCAUCAAAGCAUAGGCUAGCAGGUUUAUCAAAAGGAAUAUCACUCUCAUCAAACCUACGCAGAGAAUUCACUUCUACUACCUGUAUCGGGUUAUCGAGACCAUGGAUCUCUUCGAUAGGUGGUAGAUUUUUGACAUCUUCAGAUCUAAUGCCUUUCUCUUGCAUAGAUUUCUUGGCUUCUUGCAUAUCUUCGGGACUGAGGAAUAGAAUACCUCUUUUCUUAGGAGUUGGCUUAGGAGGUGGUUCGGGAAUAGUCCAAGCAUUAUCGUGGAUCAAGAUGUUAUUCAGUAGGGUCUCAGCUUGUUCUACAGUUCGUUCCCUAAAAACACAACCUACACAACUAUCUUGGUGGUCUCUAGAGGAAUCGGUAAGUCCGUUAUAGAGGAUAUCAAGUAUCUUGUUCUUCUUAAGAGGGUGAUCAGGAAAAGCAUUAUGUAGCUGGACGAGCCUCCCCCAAGCUUGUGGAAGAAUCUCUUCUUGGAGUUGAGCAUAGUUGUAUAUUUCCUGCAAGGCAGCUUGCUUCUUAUGGGCAGGGACAUAUUUCUCACGGAAGUAAUACACCAUCUCCUGGGGACUACUCACACAUCCAGGAGCAAGAGAGGUGAACCAGGUUUUAGCAUCAUCCUUUAGAGAGAAAUGAAACAGCUUAAGGAUAUAGUAGUGGCGGAUCUUCUCCUCAUUAGUGAAAAGGGUGGCUAUAUCGUGUAGUUUGGCAAGAUGGGCUACGACCGUCUCAGACUCAUAACCGUGAAAAGGAUCAGAUUCGACUAGAGAGAUUAUCUCAGGAUCGACAGAGAAUUCAUAAUCCUUAUCGGUGAUAAAGAUAGGUGAAGUGGAAAACUUCGGAUCGUAUUUCAUCCUAGCUUUCAGAGAUUUUUCCUUCCACUUGAGAAGUAAUUUCUCAGCGUCAUAGGCAUCCUUAAACGCAAGAAAAUCCUCAGCUAUCUCUCCCUCCAUAAUGUAACCCUGAGGUAUAUCAGUCAAUUCAUAUCUAGCAGAGCUAGAUCUAGCAGGAGAAAAAGCAGGUUCUAUCUCAAUAGUAUCGGCAGUUUCAGAAGCAUGACGAGCAUUGGCAGUAACUCUAGCAAUAUGAGCAUCAAGGAAUACCCCUAGUGGAACAUCAGGAAAAGUAGCAUCUCUAGCAGUAUCAAGCAUAGCAUCAGGCAUAGUAUCAAGCAUAGUUUCAUCAGGCAUAGUAUCAAGCAUAGCAUCUCUAGCAGUAGUAUCACAAGCAUCAUCAAGCACAUGCGACAUAUCAAGAUUUCUAGGAGGAGGUGAUCUCCCAAACUUACUCAUAACUGAAGGUGAAUCAAGUGCAGAGCUAGAUGGCAAUUCCUUACCUCCCCUCGUAGUUGAGGGCAAGACUUUGGUCUUCGGAUCCUUCAGAUUCUUCAUAGUGAUCAGCAGAUAUAAAUCCCAAGUGACUCAGAGAAUAUAACAAUACCUCCCCAGCAACGGUGCCAGAAAAAUGCUUGAUGUCAACUGUUCUUCCCCUUUGCAACGGCACCAGAAGAAUGCUGUUAACACUCUCUGGCAAUCGAAACUAGAAGAAUGUUGUUGACGGCCCACAAGCGCAUGGGAUCGUAGCAGUUUUCGAGGGUAGAGUAUUCAACCCAAAUUUGUUGGUUCUCACGACGGGAGGUGAGAGAAUACUCUCAAGUAUAAGCAGCUGAAUAUGUCAGAUUCAACCACACCUAAAAGAUUAGUAUCUGCAAGCAAAGUAGUAACAACAAAGUAGCGAGUAACGGCAGUGGCAAGGAACAGCGGUAGCGACAGCAGUAGCAAGUAGCAACAGUAGCAAGCGACAAUAGUAGCAAUAGUAGCAGCAGAGCAAGACAAGUAACAACAGUAGCAACAGUAGUAGCAGCAGCAGAGCAAGACAAGUAACAUCAGCAGUAACAGUAGUAGCAGCAGUAGGACAAACUCGUAGGCAAUGGGUCGGUGAUUUGUUUGGAUGAUAUUCAUCAUGCAACAGCUAUAACACGGAGUGAUAUGUGGCUAGCUCCCGUAUGUCAAUGUGAUGUAGGCANNNNNNNNNNNNNNNNNNNNNNNNNNNNNNNNNNNNNNNNNNNNNNNNNNNNNNNNNNNNNNNNNNNNNNNNNNNNGGGUUGCCGGAUCAUAACACAUAGUAGGUAACUACAACUUGCAAGAUCGGAUCUAAAACACACAUAUAUUGGUGGCAACAUAAUAAUUUCAGAUCUGAAAUCAUGGCACUCGGACCCUAGUGACAAGCAUUAAGCAUGGCAAAGUAGUAGCAACAUCAAUCUCAGAACAUAGUGGAUACAAGGGAUCAAUCCCCAUCAAAACUAACUCGAUUACAUGAUAGAUCUCAUCCUACUCAUCACUGCCCAGCGACCCUACGAAUAGUUUACUCACGAACGACGAAGAGCUUCAUGGAAUUGGAGAGGGAAGAAGGUUGAUGAUGACGAUGGCGACGAUUUCCCCUCUCCGGAGCCCAAGACGGACUCCAGAUCUUCCUCCAGAUGAAGACCAGGUGGUGGCGGCGCCUCCGUAUCGCAAACGCGACGAAAACUUCUCUCUUUAUUUUUUCUGGGACGAAAGGGGACUUAUAGACCUGAGGUUGGGGGCGGCAGAGCUGUGUGGGCCCCACAAGCCUGCCCACCUCAACCCAGGGGGGUGGUGGCAGAGCCAGGGCCUGUGGCCCACUGGCCCACCCCCUGAGGUGGAACUUGGCACAGAUAUUUUUUAUAUUUUCGAAAAUUGCUCCCCGUAAAUUUUCAGGACGUUUGGAGAACUUUGAUUUCUGCACAAAAAUAACACCAAGGCAAUUCUGCUGAAAACAGCGUCAGUCCAGGUUAGUUCCAUUCAAAUCAUGCAAAUUAGAGUCCAAAACAAGGGCAAAAGAGUUUGGAAAAGUAGAUACGAUGGAGACGUAUCAGCCCUCUCCGCCUGUCCGUUAGACUGGGGAUGUGCAACUGCGGAAACAUCAAGCCAGAUAUGCUCUCGUGAACAAAACUCUUGCAUUGCACCUUUGGAUAGAUUAGUACCAUUGUUAGUAAUGAUACUAUGAGGAUAUCCGAAUCUAAAAAUCAUCUUCUUCAAGAAUUUGACGGCCGUAUCUGCAUCACAACUGCUAACAGGUUCCGCCUCCACCCACUUGGUAAACUUGUCAACUGCCACCAAUAGGUGAGUCUUUUUGUUGGAAGACAUCUUGAAAGGACCAACCAUAUCAAGCCCCGAGACUGCGAACGGCCAAGUGAUAGGUAUCAUCUGCAAUUCCUGAGCCGGCACGUGCAUCUGGCGUCCAAAUUAUUGACAGCCAUCACAUCGGCUUACGAUCUCCUCUGCGUCUGCAUGAGCCGUCACCCAAUAGAAACCAUGUCUGAAGGCCUUAGAAAGCAAGGAUCGGUACCCAGCAUGAUGACCGCCGUCGCCCGCGUGAAUUUCAUUGAGGAUCAUACAUCCUUCUUCAGAAGAGACACAUCUUUGAAACACCCCUGAGGUGCUUCAUUUGUGUAACUCGCCAUUGUGUAUGACCAUGGAUUUACACCGGCGAACAAUUUGGCAAGCUAAUAACUCGUCGGCAGGCAACUCGCCUUUCAUGAGAUAUGCCUUGUAAGGAGUCGCCCAGUCUGGAGUAGCGUGGAGAGCCGCCACGAGUUGAGACUCGGGGUCCGGUACCGCUAAAUCUUCCUCUGAAGGCAGUUUCACCGAGGGGUUAUGCAAUACAUCCAAAAAGACAUUGGGAGGAACUGGCUUACAUUGUGAACCAAGACGGGAAAGAGCGUUCGUUGCUUCGUUAAGACGCCGCUCGAUGUGAUCCACUUGAUAACCAUUGAAGUGACCCGCUACAUCUGACACAACUCGUCUGUAAGCCGCCAUGAGAGGGUCUCGUAAAUCCCAAGUACCAGAGACCUGCUAUGCCACCAGAUGUGAAUCGUCCAGACACUAGACUCGUGUGAGAUUCAUCUCUUUGGUGAGUCGCAAACCAUGGAGCAAGGCUUCAUACUCCGCUACAUUAUUGGUACAUGGAAACAUGAGCCGAAGGACAUAGCAAAACUUGUCGCCUUGAGGCGAAGUUAUCACCACACCAGCCCCCGAGCGUUCCAAUUGCCUGGACCCAUUGAAAUAGAUGGUCCAAUAAGUGAGAUCGGGUCUCUCCUCCGGGAUUUGUAACUCGGUCCAAUCAUUGAUGAAGUCCACGAGCGCUUGAGAUUUUAUGGCCGUGCGAGGCAUAUAUCACACGUGAUGGGAUCCAAGCUCGAUGACCCACUUAGCAAUCCAUCCAGUGGCCUCUCGAUUUUGUAUAAUGUCGCCGAGGGGGGCGGAACUGACGAACGUGAUCAGGUGUUCCUGGAAGUAGUGCUUCAGCUUUCGACUCGCCAUAAACACCCCAAAAACCAGCUUCUGCCAAUGUGGGUAACAUUGCUUGGAGAGGGUGAGGACCUCACUGAUGAAAUACACCGGUCGCUGGACCGGAUACUCCUUUCCUUCUUCCUUCUGCUCGACAACUACCGCCAUGCUGUGUGCCUUGGAAUUGGCUGCAAUGUACAAGAGCAUAGGUUCCUUGUCUGCCGGAGCCGCCAACACUGGCGGGUUAGCUAAUUGCCGCUUCAAGGCUUCAAAAGCUUCACUGGCUUCGUUCGUCCAUACGAGACAAUCGGUUUUCUUGAGCAACUGGUAGAGAGGGAUGGCCUUCUCCCCAAGGCGACUUAUAAAGCGGCUCAGAGCUGCGAUUCGACCCGCCAUGCGCUGGACCUGGUUAACGUCGGCUGGUUUCCCUAGUGAGGUAAUUGCCUCAAUCUUGUCCAGGUUGGCCUCAAUGCCAUGCUCCGACACCAAGAAACCCAAUAACUUCCCCGCAGGGACACCAAAGACGCACUUGGUGGGGUUAAGCUUCAUCUGGUAAACACGCAGGUUGCCAAAGGUUUCCUUGAGAUCCUCCAAGACAGACUCUUUUCGGUGAGACCUGACCACGAUGUCGUCCGCAUAAGCGUGGACGUUACGGCUAUCUGGUUGUGCAAGCAAUUUUGGAUGCAACGUUGGUAAGUCGCCCCCGCACUCUUGAGCCCAAACGGCAUGGACACGUAACAGAAAGCUCCGAAUGGGGUUAUGAAGGAUGUCUUAUCCUGAUCCGCCACUGCCAUCUUGAUCUGAUGGUAUCCCGAAUAAGCAUCCAAGAAACACAGACGUUCACAACCCGCCGUCGAGUCAAUAAUUUGGUCAAUGCGGGGAAGGGCGAAGGGAUCCUUCAGAUAGGCUCUAUUGAGGUCAGUGUAGUCGAUGCACAUGCGGAAAGUACCGUUCUUCUUGAGCACCGGGACCGGGUAAGCCAGCCAUUCAGGAUGGAAAACCUCGACGAUGAACCCGGCGGCAAGGAGCCGGGCUACUUCCUCUCCAAUCGCCUUACGACGCUCUUCAUUAAACCUGCGAAGGUACUAUCGAACGGGCUUAACUUUAGGGUCAGUAUUAAGAUGGUGCUCAGCGAAUUCUCUCGGUACACCCGGCAUGUGAGAAGGUUUCCAUGCAAAGAUGUCCCGAUUCUCACGGAUGAAUUCGAUGAGCGCGCUUUCCUAUUUGGGGUCGAGACCCGCCCCAAUAGUGAAGUGCUUGGUGGAGCCGCCAGGCGUAAAGUCGAUAAUCUUGGUUUCGUCCGUUGGUUUAAACUUGAGGGGUGGCUCAGAAUCGAUGGUCAGCCUCUUGAGCGGCGUCAUGUCCGCCGGGUCAACAUUAGAUUGGUGAAACUUGAGCUCCUCAGCCGCGCAAGCUGACUCGGCGUAAGCCGCGUCUCCUUCUUCACAGUCUUGAGCUAUCUUCAUGUCGCCGCUGAUGGUAAUAGGACCCUUAGGUCCGAGCAUCUUGAGUUUGAGAUAAACAUAGCAUGGGCGGGCCAUGAAUCUGGCGUACGCCGAUCGUCCAAACAACGCAUGAUAUGGGCUCUUGAUUUUGACCACUUCGAACAGGAGGGACUCGCUCCUGUAAUUUGACUCUGUGCCAAAAGCCAUGUUAAGCUUAAUCCGCCCAAUUGGAUAUGCCGACUUACCGGGGACGAUGCCGUGGAAGACCGUGGAUGAUGGCAUCAGGUCUUUCUCCAAGAGGUUCAACCGCCGGAAAGUGUCGAAAUAUAAGAUGUUGAUGCUGCUGCCUCCGUCCAUGAGGACCUUGGAGAGGGUGUAUCCUCCGACUUGGGAAGCCACAACCAAAGCCAAGUCGCCAGGGUUGUCUACUCGAGGGGGGUGGUCUUCCCUGCUCCAGGUUAUGGGUUGGUCAGACCAGUGAAGGUACCGGGGGAGCGCCGGCUCAGCUAUAUUGAAGGUUCUAUGCUUCACCUUAUAAUCCCGCCUACAGGUGCUGGUGGUGAACACGUGGUACUGUCCACUGUUCAAUUGUUUGGGGUUAUUCUGGAACCCGCCUCGAUCUUCCUCUCGCUGGGGAUCCCCUUGUGGGGGGGGGGGGUUGCUGGAACACUCCCGGCGGGUGGUACUGCUGGUUGUGAACUUGGUACUGGCCAGCGUUGGGCUGUGACCCGCCAUGUGGUCCUGGGUUAGGAAAACCACCGAACGUGACCUGGCGUGAUCCGGAUGCGCCGGGUUGUUCAUGUCGCUGGCCCUGUUCGCCACCUUGACCUCUCCUGAGCACCUCGGCCCGAAAUUCCUACAUCACAUAGCAAUCCUCCCACGAGUGAGUCGCCGGUCCUUCCGCCAUGGCAUGCUGCGGACAAGGGCCUUUGAGCAUCUCGUGAUAAUUGCGUGGUUUUUUCCCGCUAAAGCCCCGCUUCUUCUGACGUGGGUUGCCGUUGCCGGUAUUAGUAUUAGCAACAAAUUCCGUAGGACCCUCCUGUUGUCUCUUUUUGCCGUGCCCACCAUGGUGGUGGUUGCCCUGACCUUGAAACUGAGAAUGGCCCUUGUGUAACACGUCCUUCCUGGCGGUACUAGCUUUGUCGUCGUCCUCCCCAGGAUCCUUGGUGUCAUCUGACUUAGCAUACCUGGUAAGGGUAUCCAUUAACUCGCCCAUGUCCUGUACUUUUCACUUAAGUCGCCCUAGCUUUAGUACCAGAGGUUCGUAAUGGCAGUUCUUCUCCAAGAUCAACACCGCCAGAGCCGCCGAAAUGCCUUCCGAUGAGUGAAUAACUUCCGCGACCCGCCGGGUCCAAUGAUGGGCCGACUCAUCCGGCCACUGGACGCAGUGCUGUAGGUUGAUGAUGGUCAUCGGGCGCUUGCAAGUCCCUCUGAAAUUCUUGAUAAAGCGCUCCUUUAGCUCCGCCCAAGUGUUGAUGGAGUUGGGCGGCAAGUUUUUCAACCACGCACGUGCCGUCCCUUCGAGCAUCAUAGUGAAGUACUUAGCGCAAACCGCCUCAUUUACAUCGAGCAUGUCCAUCGCGAGUUCGUAGCUCUCGAUCCAUGACCCUGGUUCGAGAUCCAGCGAGUAAUUGGGGACCUUCCGAGGCCCUUUGAAGUCUUUCGGCAUUCGCUCGUUGUGCAGAACUGGUGCAAGACACGAUACCCCGAUGUGCUUGCCCCCGGCGUCUAGGGGCGCGGGAGGUGAUGUCAUGUAAGCCGGGUAAACCUGACCCGCCGCGGCUGUUGGCUCUACUUGACGCGCGGCUCAUGCUGCAUCCACGAUAUCUUAGGCUCGCGUGUCGGGCAUCCCAAGCGGGUCGUGUUGAGGGAAUCGUCGCGGCCCACUGGUUACUGCGGGCAAGUCCUCAUGGCGGCUUCUGGUGUGACUCGCCUGAGGCAUGGAGUGCAGCCGAUCGAGGCUAUGAGAAUUGCGCGUGCUGGACCACGGCCGUCUUCAACAUCUCGAUGGCGUUUCUGGCCUUUAUCUCGUCCGGGGAGUUUCCGUAGAUCGGAAGGGACUCCAGGUGCCAGGUUGCCGCCAGCACAUUGUCUACGGGAUUCGAGAAGUGACCCCAUGGCGUCUGGAACCGAGUUGCAUGGGCAUCCAAUGGCUGAAGCGGCGGCGGAUUGGGCGGUGGAACCGUUCCUCCCCCCGAGACAGUUUGUGAAGGCCGAUCAGGACCCACCCCGGGGGUGCGCGGAGUGUCGAAAAGGCGAGUCGGAUGUAAGUUGGCCUAGAUGCGCCCGUGGUGCCUCCUUUGGUGAACGGCGUCGGACGCAUGUUGCCGUCUCUCGAGCCACCAUCCCUCGGUGUUCAACCGCUCCGUCUCUGCUGCGAUCGCAGCCUGCUGCGUCUCCUCCCUGGCGGCUCCUGCUUCCAUGUCCCGCUGCGCCUUGGCCAUUGCCUCCCGCAGCUUGGCUAGCUCGGCGUUGACAAAUUCCUGAUUCUCGGACGUGACGGUGUUUGCCAUGAGGUUGGCGACCUCCGCCGCUAGUUCCGCCAUGGACUGUGCUGGGGGUUUGGAUGUCCCACCGGUCUCAUUAUUGCCGGUUGGAUUUUGCUGAGGCUGCACUGACCCCGCCAUGUAGGUGACGAUUUGUCGGCGGGACCUCUCAAAGACCUCGGGAUCCAUUGCCAACGACAACCCUCCGAGUUGCCCUUCCUGGAGAGGUGGAUCAAAUCUGUCUCACCCAUGGAUGACUCGCCAUCAGAAUUGACGGGGGUGAUCUCCUGGACCGCCACUUCGUCUUGUACGUCGUUUCCCUACGUAAAACCGACGAAGGCGUGGCGACUCCUGUCUCGCCUUGUGAUGGGGAGGACAUACCUGGCCGGCUCGACGAUGUCGGUGGAGGUGUCCGACUCAGGUACGGGUGUCCCCAUCAUGCCGAUGAAGAUGUUGAUUUUGCCAAAGGGGACUCGGUAGCCAGAUUCGACUGAAUCGUCUUCUGGCUCCCACAGUGAAUUGUCGAUGUAGUACCUCCCGCGGCGGCUCUUCGUCAUGAUGCCGACCGCGUAGCUUUCUAACCCCGGUAGGGAUCCCUUCGAGAACUCAGCUCCAUCGUGCGCAGGCCCCACGGUGGGCGCCAACUGUCGUGGUUUUGUCACGGUAUAUGUCCUCGUGAAAGGACUUAGAGAUGGAGCCAUCGCACCUUGGUGGCGACUCGAAGGGGGUGAGCGAAAGCGAGACUCAGAUUUACCCAGGUUCGGCCCCUCGUGAGGAGGUAAAAGCCUACGUCCUGCUUUGUGUGGAUUAAUGGUGGUUUCGAUUACAAGGAGGGUGUAACUCGUCUGACCUAGCUCUCAAUUCUAACUCGCCUAACCUCUUCCUGGGACUCGCCUUUAUAUACAGGUCGAGGCCCUAGGGUUUACAAAGUCCUGCCAUGCUACUCUUUGUGGCUUUCCUUAUCUCUAAGUCGCCGUGUCCUCCACAAUCGGGAGCUUUCUUGGUAAUCCAUCAUCCGCACGACCUUUUGAACCGCCAUCCAGCUUCUGGGCCACGGGACGCGCGGUAAAUGGUAAGUUUCCCCUUUGGCGACCCGACCCACUAAGGGCGGGUUACCCGCAGGUAAUAUCCCCAACAGCCGGCGAGCCGAUCCUACGUGCCAAAGUGCUAGAUCACAUACUGAACAAUGAUCUAAAGAGACUCCAUGAAGAUGUGUUGGCCACAGAGAAAAACCUUCUCGCCGCGAAACAUCCAGGAUACCCACUUUAUGCGGCUCAUGUGCUGGGUGGGAAGAUGUACGUCGAUACCUGGCCCGCGAACCAGUUCCUCCUGCGAUUUGACUACAUCUAUAACAUGUUCCACAUGACCAAGCUGGAUUUCCAGUUCAUCCGCAUGUAUGCGUUGUAUCUCAACUCCAUCAUCAAUAUGGAGAGCAUCAAAUAUAUCCGCGUCACGGACCCAUACUAUAUGCGCGAGGACUUCUUGGGAGUUUGCAAAAAGCACCGUGACUAUGCGAGCAAGUACCUCGGCGAUUUCAUGGCCGCUAAUAAGGAGAAGGAAGCGAUUCUCCUACCUUAUCAUCCCUCGUAAGUCAUCCACGCAUAUCCUUUCGUACAUGUUUCAUUCCUUUGCAAGCAUGGAGGCUAAUUUGAGGUUUCCUUAAUUUGCGCAGCGGGGGCGGCGCCGUCCUCAUCGUUUUGUACCCGGAAUACUCCCAUGCUAUCUACUUGGACUCGUCGAAGAACCUCAAGAAAAAGGAUUACACACACGUAAAGAGUGUUCUCGACUCUGCCCUGUGGACCUUCAGCCUGACUGGUGGAUAUAUCAAGGUGAAAAAGACCAGGAAUAAAGCACCGGCUUUCGGCCAUAAGACCGACUUCUGCUGCAUCCAGCAACCGAACAACAGUAUGGUUGAUGGAUUCUACCUCAUGCAUCACCUGAUGGAGUUCAGAAGGGAUAAUCAACGCCUUCUCAUGUCAUCUACUACCGAAGAUGCCGAGAUUGUCAGCUGGGCCACAAGCAUAGGAACGACACCAGAUCAUCGAAUCCGAGCUGAGUUUUAUCACGUACAGUGUGAACUAGCCCAAGUGAUCAUGAAGCAAGUCCUCGAACCAACGGGGAUGUUCUACAAUGGGGCAAUCACGCGGGUUGAUGUCCGAGCACUGCUAGUCGCUCAACCUCUGGGCAUGAACCCUUUCACGAAGCUCGAGUGCAUCCUCGCUGACUAUGAAGAUUGGGACUAGGACCUAAACGCCUGAUUGUCAAUGACAAUGUGAUGUAACUAAACCGUGGUCCAGAAAUAGCGUGUCUUAUCACUACUGUCUUUCUAUGGCAAAACUUUGAAAUUAUGCACGACGAAACUAUGUGAUGUAACUAAACCGUGGUCCUGAACUAGCGUAGAUCGUUCUAGUUAAUUAGUUUGGGUAUGAGGCACUUCGUCAUUUAUGUUUACUAUUGGUUGCUUUUAUUUUGCUAAUCAUGCCUCUUUGUUUUCUGAAGUACAUUAUGUUGCAUAUUAUCAUUCAAAUCAACAACUCACGAUGCAGGUACCUAGAUCAGAGAUGGCGAAGCACUACUACGUCGUGUACAUUGGGAGGGUUCCAGGAGUCUACGACCACUGGCCACCCGCUUAGGCCCAGGUGCACAGGUACCCGGGUGCUACCCACAGAGGGUUCAACACCAGAGCCGAAGCGGAAAGUAGUUACUUCAGGUGGACACUCCAGCAUGAGCAGGGGCGGGACCGUCGGUACUACAUAGUCACGCUCUUCCUCAUGCUGAUCGCUCUUCUCUUGUACAUCAUGUUGUAGAUAGAGAUGAUGAAACUUGAGGGUGUGCCAUGACCAUGCACUUGCACUUAUUCGAGACAUGACAUGAUCACACUUAUGUAUCGCUAUUUUCGAGAUUAUGUGAUGAUAUUUUGUGUUGAAUGACGAUGAUGGUGAUGGUAUGACGAAACUAUUGUAUGUCUAUGAUAUGUGAGAAUGGUGUAUGUUUAAUAUGAUGUGAUUAAAAUAUUGUAUAGAAUCUGUAUAAAUACAUCACAAAUACGUAGAGGGUGCAAAGUUGUGAAAGCAGCAAAAUUUAGCAGUAGCGCUGGUAAAUACUUACCAGUAGCGCUGCUUAGCAGCAACGCUUACUAUGGGCAAACGCUACUACUAUAGUUCGCAGUAGCACUGGACAGGCAAGUGCUACGGCUAAUACUACUUACCAGUAGCGCUGCCCAUACCUACGCUACUACUAGGAUUUAGUUGUAGCGUGAUAGCAGUAGCGCUCGACCCAGCACUACUGCUAUGCAUAUUUCCAGCGCUACUAGUAGGGUUUUCCCUAGUAGUGAUGCCCUCUUGAGCUCUAGCUUCAAAUUUAGACAAACGAACACUUUUCUUGAGUAUGAAACACUUACAACCAAACACCCAGAAGUAUUUGAGGUUGGGCUUGUUCCCGGUAAGAAUCCCAUACAGAGUUUUGUUCAAGCCUUUGCGGAGGUAGAGCCGAUUGGCUACAUGACACGCAGUGCUAAUGGCUUCAACCCAAAAGUUGUACGGAUAUUUGAAUUCUGCCAUCAUGGUUCUUGUCGCGUCCAUCAAUGUCCGGUUCUUCCUUUCCGCAACACCAUUCUGUUGGGGGUAUAAGGUGCUGAAUAUUGAUGCUUAAUCCCCUCAUCACUAAGGAACUCAUUUAAGGUGUAGUUCUUGAACUCAAUGUCGUUGUCACUUCUAAUCAUCAAUAUCUUUGCUUCAUGUUGACGUUGAGCUUCAUUAGGAAAGUCAACGACAGUUUGUUGAGUCUCACUCUUCUUCUUGAAGAAAUAUACCCAAGUGUAUCUUGAGUAGUCAUCCACAAUCACCAAGCAAUAAUUUCUUCCCCCAAGACUAUCAAAAGAGGGAGGUCCAAAGAGAUCCAUGUGAAGGAGCUCCAAAGGCAUUUUAGAGUAGAUGACAGUUGUGGGACGGUGAGCUGUUUCAUGAAGCUUUCCUUCAAUACAAGCACUGCAAGCACGAUGUCUGACAAAUCUCACAUUUGUUAGUCCACGAACAUGGUCCCCUUUGAGGAGACUUUGCAAAGAUCUCAUAUUGACACGGGCUAGUCGGCAAUGCCAUAGCCGACCCACAUCAACCUUAGCCAUUAGACAAGUCGCGAUCUUAGUAGGUCGCUCCGAAAAGUUGACUAUCUAGAGACCGUUCUCGACAUGUCCAGCAAAGGCUACUUUAAGAGUCUUGCUCCACAAAAAGGGUCACGAUAUCAAGAUUAAAGAAUGUGGAAAAGCCCAUAAUUGCAAGCUGACAAACGGAAAGCAAAUUGUAUGCAAGGGACUCAACAAGCAUGACCUUCUCUAUAGGUAAAUCUUGAGAGAUGACCACCUUACCAAAUCCCACUACCUUAGAUGUUGAAGCAUCAACAAAUUGGACAUAGGUGGGCAUAUAUGGUAUUGGAUGCACACCCACCACUAAGUCCUUGCUCUUAGUCAUAUGAUUUGUUGCUCCACUAUCGAGCAACCAUGACACUCCACCAGAAGCAAACUCCUACAAGAGAUCAAUACUUGGUUUUAGGUACCCAUUUUUGAAUGGGACAUUUGAUGUUAGAAACAAGGGUCUUAGGAACCCAAAUAGCCCACUCAAUGUACUCAUAAUAAUAACCAACAAAUUUGGCAUAAACAUGCCCAUCACUAGCACGACAUAAAACAUAAGAGGGGUUAAAAUCGCCGGCAGUGUUGGUGGGAGUGGUUUUUCCCUUCUUGACAUUGUCACCCCCUUCCUUGUUCUUCAUCUUCUUAUGAGUACUUUCACCCACUUUGACAAAUAUGUCCUUGAGAUAGGAAGAUGGCUUGGUCUUGUUUUUCCUUUUCUUCUUAGACUUGGUUGCAAACCCAAGUCCUUUCUUUCCCGCAAAUUCCUUUUGAUUACUCAAAAGAUCAUUUAGAUUUUUCUCGCCUUGGAUGCACGUAACAAGGCCCUUUUUCAAGCUGUUCUUUCAACUUGGCAUUCUCCUCCACAAGAUGCACAUGCUCACGAGAAGGGUUAGUAGCACAAGCAUUAUCAAUUAAAACAAAAGGAGGACAAGUAGAAAUCUCCUUGGUUAGUUUUUCUUGGAGUUGAUCAUGAGACUCCUUAAGGGAGGAAGGAGCACUUUUCAAGACCUUGUGGGCCUUGUCAAGUAUGUUCAAUUCUGCCUUGAGUCUAUCAAGGCCAACCCCAAGUGGAACUUUCUCAGAUUUAAGCACAUGAGUAAGAACACCAGCAUGAUCAAGAUCCUUUUGUAAUUUAGCAUGAUCAACGUUUUGUGACUCCUCAAGAGUUAAACGAAGACCACACUCUUCUUCUAGAGCAAUGGAUAGUUCUGCUAUCUCAUCGGCGUAAUCACGACUAUUUUCUUGCAUCUUGGAGAUAGUAUCCUCAUGAGUCUCAAUGAGAUCAUUGGCUUCACCAAGUUUUUCCAAAAGAGCAGCAAAGUGUCUUUUGGUUUCACCCUUGAUCUUACACAAGAAUUUAUCAAAUUAAUUUUCAUCAAGUUCCACUACCUCACUAUUAUCAACACAGUCUAACAAUGAAGGAGAGGUAGUGAGAGUGGUCUUGAUGCUAGGGGUUACCUUAUUGUUACCUUUGGCCAUGAGGCACUUGGUGAUAUGGUUCUCGUUGGUGGCGGCGAAGAGAGAUACCUUGGGGGAGGAAGUGGCAAUGGCGACGGUGGCCAUUGCCAUCCCCUCAUGGCCUGUAUCGUCUUCAUCAUCAUCGGAGGUGUACUCUUCAUGGGCCACCAAGCCCCUUGUGUGAGUCUUCUUGGUGAAGGUGUUCUUGCUAGGGAAUGACUUGGGCCUAUCCUUGCGAAUGAGGUUUCCCCCAUUGUCCUCCCUCUUCUCAUAAGGACAAUCUGCAACAAAGUGACUCACAUUGCCGUAGUUGUAGCAUGUCCGUACUCGUUGUUUGUUCUUGGACCCACUUGAGUUGUCCUUGGAGAAGUUGGGUCUUGAGUUUCUUUUGUUUCCCCAAAACUUCCUUGAAACAAGAGACAUGUGCUCAUGAUAAGCGUAUUUUGUGUCUACGGGGCUGCCAUCUUCUUUCUCUUCUUCAUCAUCAACAAUGGCCUUGGUCUUCAAGGCAAGGUUGGGUGAUGCUGUUUUUGACUGAACACGAGCAAGUGAGUUGUCGGCGGUCUUGUUCAUAAUAUCCAUAGCAAUGAACUCAUCCAACACUUCGCCUGAGGUCAAGGAGUGAAAAUCUGGUCUUUGCCGAAUGACGGAAGACAUGGCUUUAUUGAAAGGCAUAAUGGCCUUGAGAAACUUGCGCUUGAUCCACGCGUCAUCGUAUAUUUGCUCCCAUGGUCUUGGAGAGCAACAACAAGGGGAGUCACCCUUUGAUAGAGAUCACGGGGAUCCUCAUCUUCUAGCAUCACAAACUCAUCGGCGUGAUCAAGGACCACUUCAAAGUUAGACCGUUGAAUGCUUGAGCUCCCCUUGUACACCACCAUGAUGUGCUCCCAACAAUCCUUUGCACGAGUGAAGGGGCGCAGGUGUGGGAGAUCUUCUGGUGGAACUGCGGAUUGAAGGAUGAACAAUGCAGAAUGAUUGUAUUGGUUGUCCACCUCUUCACUUGGAGUAAGGUUCCUUGGAUCAUGAGGGUAGUAGCCUUUCUCGAUGACUAUCCAAAGAUUUGUUGAGCCGCGAUUCAAAUGAGACUUGAUGGAAAAACCCAAUUAGCGAAAUCACCUCUAACAAGUUUUGGAGGAGGUCCUAGGUUAUUAAUAUGCGAGGUAGGAACUGAUCCUCCAUAGACCGGGGGAGGGGGAACUGAGGCAAAUGUCCCAAUCCCAUUCUUGUCAUGAUGGGACGAAGUUUGAGUACCUUUAACCGCUUCCUUGUCAAAAUUGACCUCCGACACCGAUGAGGUGGGUUUAACCACAAGCAGCAGGUCGGGAGAAUUCCUCAUCCCCUCAAGUAAUUCUUUAAGCAUGGAUUUGACUUCGGUUGUCACAUACGUCUUGAGUGAAGACAUGGCCUCAUUCAAAUCGUCCUGUGUGACCGAAACCACCUCCACGGCCUCGGACCCUUCGGGCCGAACCUCACCAUCGUCAACCAUACUCUUCGGGUGGUCAAACACUUAACAAAGAGACGUAGCUUGAUACCAAUUGAAAGGUUUGAUAUGGUUGACUAGAGGGGGGGGGUGAAUAGCCAACUACCAAUUUUUAGCUAAUCUUAACAAAUUAGCGUUAGCAACAAAAGGUUCUCUAUGUGAACAACUAGGUGAACAACCUUUAUGAUGCUAACUACAAGGUUAACAAGUGCAAGCAAAUAAUACACCACAACAAUAACAACUGGAAAGUAAAGGUAAGAGAUAACCGCAAGUGGAACCGGUGCAGACGAGGAUGUGUUACCAAAGUUCCUUCCCUUUGACAGGAAGUACGUUUCCGUUUGAGUGGUGUGGAGGCACAAUGCUCCCCAAGAAGCCAUUAGGGCCACCGUAUUCUCCUCACGCCCUCACACAAUGCGAGAUGCCGUGAUUCCACUAUUGGUGCCCUUGAAGGCGGCGACCGGACCUUUACAAACAAGGUUGGGGCUAUCUCCACACAAAGCUUAGAGGCUCCCAAAAAGACCAUGAAGCUUCACCACAAUGGAAUGUUGCUCCGAGGUGACCUCAACCGUCUAGGUUUCUCAAACACCCAAGAGUAACAAGAUCCGCAAGGGAUUAGUGGGGGGGGAAUCAAAUAUCUCUUGGUGGAAGUGUAGAUCAAAGCCUUCUCAAGCACUCCCUAGAAAAUCAACAAGUUUGAUUGGCUAGGGAGAGAGAUCGGGCAAGAAUAAGCUUAUGGAGCAACAAUGGAGCUUAGAGAGGUGAGAGGUCAGCUCCUCGAGGAAGAAAACACCUAUAUAUAGUGGGGGGGGGGGGUAAAAUCCAACCGUUGCCCACCCACCACAGCAAUAGCCAAGCGGUACUACCGCUCUGGGAGCGGUGCUACUGCUCGUGAGAGCGGUACUGCCGCUCUGCAUCUCACCAACCACGAUAGUAAUAAAAUACUACCGUGCCUACUACUGCGAGGGGGGGAGUAUGUGAAAAGGUCCGUUGGAGCGGUAGUAAAAAAAUUACUACCGUUUUUAGGGCGGUACUACCCUCCAUGAGCGGUAGUAGAAAAUUACUACCGCUCUUAGAGCGGUACUACCGCUGGCCCUUUCGCAUAAACAUCAAAGAUGGGUAUGGAGCUCCAUUGUAGCUAGGGAAAAGGUGGUGCACUAAAUGUGUACGUGAUGAUUCCAUCCAAGCCUUUCAGACGCGGACCCCUGAUACGUCUCCGUCAUAUCUACGUUUCUGAACUCUUUUGCCCUUGUUUUAGACUCUAAUUUGCAUGAUUUCAAUGGAACUAACCCGGACUAACGCUGUUUUCAACAGAAUUGCCAUGGUGUUGUUUUUGCGCAGAAAUAAAAGUUCUCGGAAUGACCUGAAAAAUUACGGAGAAUUUUUCUGGAAUUAAAUAAAAAUACCUGUGCAAAGAUCCACCGGAGGGGGUGAGUCAGUGAGCCACAAGCCGAGUGGGCGCGGCCACCCCCCUGGCCGCGCCGUGAGGGCUUAUGGGGCCCACGAGGCUCCACCGCCUCCAAUCUCAACUCUAUAUAUUCCGUUUCGCCCGGAAAAAAAUCCGGGAGAAGGAUUCAUUGCCUUAUACGAUACGGAGGCGCCGCCACCUCCUGUUCUUCAUCUAGAGGACAAAUCUGGAGUCCGUUCUGGGCUCCGGAGAGGGAAAAUCGUCGCCAUCGUCAUCAUCAACUUUCCCUCAUCGCUAAUUUCAUUAUGCUCUUCACCUUUCGUGAGUAAUCUCAUUGUAGGCUUGCUGGACCGUGAUGAGUUGGAUGAGAUCUAUCACGUAAUCGAGUUAGUUUUGACGGGGAUUAAUCCCUAGUAUCCACUAUGUUAUGAGAUUGAUGUUGCUACUACUUUUCCAUGCUUAAUGCUUGUCACUAGGGCCCGAGUGCCAUGAUUUCAGAUCUGAACCUAUAAUGUUGUCGCCAAUAUAUGUGUGUUUUAGAUCCUAUCUUGCAAGUUGUAGUCACCUACUAUGUGUUAUGACCCGGCAACCCCGGAGUGACAAUAGCCGGAACCACUCCCGGAGAUGACCAUAGUAUGAGGAGUUCAUGUAUUCACCAAGUGUUAAUGCGUUGGUCCGGUUCUUUAUUAAAAGGAGAACCUUAAUAUCCCGUAGUUUCCAUUAGGACCCCGUUGCCACGGGAGGGAUGGACAAUAGAUGUCAUGCAAGUUCUUUUCCCUAAGCACGUAUGACUACAUACGGAAUACAUGCCUACAUUAGAUUGACGAACGGGAGCUAGUUACUUAUCUCUCUGUGUUAUAGCUGUUACAUGAUGAAUCACAUCUGGCAUAAUCAUCCAUCACCGAUCCAAUGCCUAUGAGUAUUUUACUACUGGUCCUUGCUACGUUGCUUUGCUGCUACUUCUGUUACUGCUGCUGUUGUUACUCUGUUGCUACUGCUGUUACUUUGUUGCUACUGCUGUUACUUGCUACUGCUGUCACUACUGCUAUUACUUGCUACUGUUGUUACUUGCUACUUUUCUGUUACCUGCUGCAAGACUUUUCUGGCGCCAUUGAUACAAUAAGUCAGGAAUACUCUGCCGUCAACAGACCAUUUUCUGGCACCGUUGCUAUCAUACUACUUUUCUACUGAUACUUUGCUUGCAGACACUAAUCUUUCAGGUGUGGUUGAAUUGACAACUCAGCUGCUAAUACUUGAGAAUAUUUUGUCGCUUCCCCUUGAGUCGAAUUAAUAAAUUUGGGUUGCAUACUCUACCCUCGAAAACUGUUGCGAUCCCCUAUACUUGUGGGUUAUCAAGACAAUUUUCUGGCGCCGUUGCCGGGGAAGCACAACUAUAUUCUCUGAGUCACUUGGGAUUUUCGUCUGCUGGUCACUAUGAGGAAUCUGAUAGAUCCAAGAACUAAAGUCUUGCCCUCAACUACGAGGACAGGUAAGGAACUGCCAUCUAGCUCUGCACUUGAUUCACCUUCAGUUAUGAAUAAGUUUGCGACAUCACCUCCUGCUAGAAAUCUUGAUAUGUCGCCUGUGCUUGAUGAUGCUAUGCUUGAUGCUGCUUUGCCUGAUGAUGCUAUGCUUGAUACUGCUUUGCCUGAUGAUGCUAUGCUUGAUACUGCUUUGCCACUAGGUGCGUUCCUUGAUGCACAAAUUGCUAGAGUUGCUACUAGAUGUGAUGAUACUUUUGAAACUGCUGAUACUAUUGAAGUAGAACCUACUUUGCCUGAAUUGCCUGUUAUGCCUGAGCGCUAUGUUAUGGAGGGAGAGAUAGCUGAGGACUUUCUUGCGUGUAAGGAUAGCUAUGAUGUUGAGAAAUUACUGCGCAAGUGGAAAGAAAAAUCUUUGAACGCUAGGAUGAAAUACGACCCGAAGUUUGCUACUUCGCCUAUCUUUGUGACCGAUAAGGAUUAUGAAUUCUCUGUCGACCCUGAGUUAAUCACUCUGGUCGAAUCUGAUCCUUUUCACGGUUACGAGUUUGAAAUGGUUGUAGCCCAUCUUACCAAACUGCACGAUAUAGCCACCUUAUUCACUAGUGAGGAAAAGAUUCGCCACUACUAUAUCCUCAAGUUGUUUCCUUUCUCGCUAAAGGAUGAUGCUAAGACUUGGUUCACUUCUCUUUCUCCUGGUUGUGUGCGUAGUCCACAGGAUAUCGUCUACUACUUCUCUGAAAAAUAUUUCCCUGCCCAUAAGAAGCAAGCUGCCUUGAAGGAAAUAUACAACUUUGCUCAAGCCGAAGAAGAGAGUCUCCCACAAGCUUGGGGGAGGCUCAUCCAGCUACUCAAUGCUUUGCCUGAUCACCCACUUGAGAAGAAUGAAAUACUUGAUAUCUUCUAUAAUGGACUUACCGAUGCUUCCAAGGACCACCUAGAUAGUUGUGCUGGUUGUGUUUUUAGGGAAUGAAUCAUAGAACAAGCUGAGAUUCUAUUGAACAACAUCUUGUGCAAUGAGAAUGCUUGGACUAUUCCCGAACCACCUCCUAAGCCAACUCCGAAGAAAAGAGGUAUUCUAUUCCUUAGUCCUGAAGAUAUGCAAGAAGCCAAGAAAUCUAUGUGAGAGAAAGGCAUUAAAUCUGAAGAUGUCAAAAAUCUACCACCUAUCGAAGAGAUCCAUGGUCUUGAUAACCCGAUACAGGUAGUAGAAGUAAAUUCUCUNAGAAUUGAACAAGAUUCUCAAGGAGUUAGCACUGAUGCACCUAGUCAUCCUAGAAAGAAGAAGAAAGAUGAUAGGAACCUGCACGCUAGCAACCCUGCUGCUGCUACACCUGAGAGUCCAAAUGAUGCCUCCGUCUCUGAUGCUGAAACACAAUCUGGUGAUGAACAUGAGCCUAAUGAUGAUAUCAAUAGUGAUGUUCAUGAUGAUGCUCAACCUAGCAAAGAUAAGGAUGUGGAGAUUGAACCUGUUGGUCUUGAUAACCCACAGCUUAAGAAUAGAAGAUAUGAUAAGAAUGACUUCACUGCUAGGAAUCACGGUAAAGAAAGGGAACCGUGGGUUCAGAAACCCAUGCCCUUUCCUCCCAAACCAUCCAAGAAAAAGGAUGAUGAGGAUUUUGAGCGAUUUGUUGACAUGGUUAGACCUGUCUUUCUGCAAAUGCGUUUGACAGAUAUGCUCAAAAUGUCUCUGUAUGCUAAGUACAUGAAGGAUAUUGUGACUAAUAAGAGGAGGAUACCUGAGGUUGUGAUUUCCACCAUGCUUGCUAAUUAUACCUUCAAGGGUGGAACUCCUAAGAAACUAGGUGAUCCCGGUGUGCCCACUAUACCUUGCUCCAUUAAAGGUAACUACGUUAGAACUGCUUUAUGCGACCUUGGAGCCGGUAUUAGUGUUAUGCCUCUCUCUCUCUUUAUCGUAGACUUGAACUGGAUAAGUUGACACCCACUGAAAUCUCUCUGCAAAUGGCCGACAAAUCAACUACUUUCCCUAUCGGCAUUUGCAAGGAUGUGCCUGUUGUGGUUGCUAAUCUCACUAUCUUAACAGACUUUGUUAUCUUGGAUAUUCCUGAGGACGAUGCCAUGGAGGUCAUCCUCGGAAGACCCUUUUUAAACACUGCAGGGGUUGUUAUAGAUUGCAACAAAGCCAAUGUCACUUUCCAUGUCAACGGUAAUGAGCAUAUGGUGCACUUUCCGAAGAAACACUAUCGAAUACAUUGCAUCAAUGUUAUCUAAAAAACUUUAUCGAUUCUUAUUGGGAGCUUUGAAUGCUUUAUUCCCCCUGUUAAGAUGAAGUAUGAUUUGCUUGUUGGGGAAAUACAUAUCCCCAUUGAGGUAACCUAGUGACUAUUCAAAAAUUCUACGUUCUCUUUUGCGAUUCGAAAAGGUUUGUCGAGGAGACUUGAUCAACCUCAUUGACGGAUUUUCUUUCGAUGACCAUGAGAUGGAUGAAUCGAGGAGUCACAAACCUCUGUUCCAAGCUUUCACCUUUGGUUGCUUAGAAGAAAAAUGAUAGAUUUAGAUUAGUUUUCCCUAUUUUCUGUUUUAGCGUCCGGUAGAAAAGUACCCCGAAAAUAGAAGUUCUCUGAACGUCCUGAAAAUCAAGUAUGAUUUUUUCUGGAAUUUUUGAAAAUUUCUGAGAUAAGAGCUAGUCUGGGGGCUGCACUAGUGGGCCACAAAGCCCUUGAGGCGUGGGCACCCCCCUGGCCGCGCCACCCAGGCUUGUGGGGCCCAUAGGCACCCCCUCCACUCAUUCUUGCUCUCAUCUGGUUCUCCUACCUCCAGAAAAAAUUGUUUCGCAGCUCAAACCCGUGUUCUUGCUCCUCUUGCUGGAAACUUUGAUCUCUUUGCUCAAAUCACCAUUCUCCGAACUGUUUUGGGGAAAUUACUCCUUGGUAAGUGACUCCUCCAUUGGUCCAAUUAGUUUUUGCUCUAGUGCCUUAUACUUCGCGUAUUUUUGCUGCCUUGGUGACCAUGUUCUUGAGCUUUGCAUGCUAAUUUUAGAUGGUCCCAAGAAGUUUUGAUGCGUAAUAUGGCCUCUAGGCACUUGUGGGAGUAGUUGCUACGAGUUUUGUUGAGCCUUGUUCACUUUUCCUUAGAAUCACUAAAAAUUUCAGAAAUUUUCAAAGAUAGAAAAGGGAAAAGAUGAGGAGGUUCUUAAGAGUCUCUUCAAGCCGUGAACCUAAGGAUGAUGGAAGUGAGAAGAAGCCCAAGUAUUUGGUCCCUCGAGUCGCAGAAGUUCGAGCGUGCGAGUGGCCAAGCGACGUGUUCUUACGCGCCGCUGGAAUUUAUGAGGACUUUUAUCACCUGGUGGAAAACACAGGCCUUACCGCCUUCGUUGAAGAUAAGUGUCUGCAAUACCUCCUCCUCACUAAUAUCUUCGUACAAAGCUUUAACUUCUAUCCGAGGAAGAAUCCUCUUAUGGUUGAGUUCAAACUUUAUGAUAUCCCCCAGUGCAUGUCACUCCAAGAUUUUUGCAAUGUGUGAAAAUUACCAUACGUUGGGGAUAUUCAUGAACCUCGUCCACGGGACUUGGAAGCUUUCAUUGAUACUAUUGUUGUAGGAGAGAAGAGAGGAGUGUCUUGCGCUAGAGCUGCUAGCAUACAUUUUCCCGUGCUUCGGUACUUCUCAUUAUUUGUGGGAAAAUAUUUGAUUGGCCAUGGAAAAGCUGGGUCACUUAGGGUGUGUUUGGUUGCUGUCAUGGGCUGGAAUGUCAUGGGUCGGACCCGUUCCUAGUCCUCGUUCCUGCGUUUGGAUUACCAACUGGAACAGAACCCACUCAUUCCACUUUAGAGAAUAUUCCACUCAGAUCCGGAACGUGCUAGUACCACGAAAUUGACGGAAUCACACGGAACGGCUCGUCUCGCGCAACUCGUCUCCUCCUUCCCCAGCUGCGUCGCCGGCCCCCGCCCUCUCUGCUACCGCGCUGCGCCGCCGCCNNNNNNNNNNNNNNNNNNNNNNNNNNNNNNNNNNNNNNNNNNNNNNNNNNNNNNNNNNNNNNNNNNNNNNNNNNNNNNNNNNNNNNNNNNNNNNNNNNNNNNNNNNNNNNNNNNNNNNNNNNNNNNNNNNNNNNNNNNNNNNNNNNNNNNNNNNNNNNNNNNNNNNNNNNNNNNNNNNNNNNNNNNNNNNNNNNNNNNNNNNNNNNNNNNNNNNNNNNNNNNNNNNNNNNNNNNNNNNNNNNNNNNNNNNNNNNNNNNNNNNNNNNNNNNNNNNNNNNNNNNNNNNNNNNNNNNNNNNNNNNNNUCUCUGCUGCCGCGCUGCCGGCCCCCUCCCUCUCUGCUGCCGCGCUGCGCCACCGCCGGCCCUCUCCCUCUGCUGCCGCGCUGCGCCGCCGCCGACCCUCUCCCUCUCUGCCGGCCCUCCAUGCCGCCAGCCCUCUCCCUCUCUGCUGCCGCUCCGCGCCGCCGGCCCUNGCCGCCGGCCCUCUCCCUUCCUCUCUGCUGCGUCGCCGCCGGCCCUCUCCCUUCCAUUUGUCAUUCCAUGCCUCCCAACCAAAAACUCGAAUGGAACCAUCCCGUUCCACUUUUUUGCUCGUACCAAACACAGGAACGGAACCGACCCGUUCCUCUGGAAUGGAACCAUUCCAUUCCAUGACAGUUGGUUCUCCAACCAAACACACCCUUAGUUCCCCAGAUCUUGCGGUCUUGCAUGAAGCCCUUUAUAACGAUAAAACUUAUAGCUUGCGCGCUAUAGUAGCUCAACGGUCGAACCUGAACGUUCUAAAGGUGUUGUCUAUGGAGGUAUCUAUGCUACCCGUCUUGCCAGCCACUUUGAGAUACCCAUUAGACUGGAGGAGGAAGAAGAGGUUCUUCUUCCCGAGAGAUAUCUAGAUUACGAUAGCAUGGUUCGCCAUGACUUUCUUGAUAGAGAUAUAAAUAGAAGGAUGAAUUAUAACCUGGUAUUCAGUCAGGGUACUCAUGAGACUAUUACUUUGCCUGCUCCUUCUUUGUUCAAUCUUCAUGCAGACAGGUACAUUAUUAUGCCCUCGGACAUCUACGCAUAUUGGGGCUUAGCCCAACCACAGGUGCCCGUGCCCGAGCCACCAGUCGAGUACCAAACGCCAGUUUCUUUAUCAGUGGAAUCCAGAGGAGCUCACACAACAGUGGCAUCCUCAGUCCACUCGGAGUACCCCGGAGCUGGUUAUUUCCCUCCUUGGGAGUAGACCAACUUAGGCCAAAAGCCUAAGCUUGAGGGAGUAUGUGUUUCUCACCGACUUUACAUUCUUGUUUAUGCUUUCACUUUGUUAGCCGGUGUUCACACUUUGCCACUGUAUCAUCCAUGCUAGUUUAUUUCUUUUUCUCGUUUUCUUUUCGUGUGUCUGUCUAGUUUGAAAAAAACAGAUAUAUUUUAUUUUUCUUCUUUUGCUUGUUGGGAGCUUUCCGUGUAAAUAGUUUUCUUUUUCUUUGGGUCAAGGUAGAAGAUCAUGGUUACAAUGUUUAGUGGCUCUUGCAUGCAUACCUAUUUAGCUAUUAAAGAGCCAUAUUACUUUGUCUUCUCCUUUGUGUUUGCCUGCAGAUUCCAGCGUAGUCCAAUGCACGAGCACACUUAUUAUUGUUCACAUCGUUCGGUCAUGCAAGUGAAAGGCAAUAAUGAUGAUACAUGAUGAAGUGACUGAGCCUGGAAAAGCUGGUAUGAACUCGAUCUAUUUUGUUUUUGUAAAUAUGACUAGCUCAUCAUGCCUGAUUCAGCUUUUUUGUGAGAGAAACAUGUUUGCAAUGACAACUUAGAGAUCAUAGUUGCUUAUGCCAUGCUUACUUAGCUAGGAGCUUAUAAUGGUUUGUCUUGGAUGCACACAUGAAUUUUGAGAUGACUGUGCUGCAGUAUGAUAGGAUGGUAUCCUCCUUUGAAUGAUUCAAGUGGCUUGACAUGGUGCAUGUUCACGCAUGUAGUUGAAACAAAAUCAACAUAGCCUCUAUGAUGUUCAUGUUCAUGGUGAUUUAUGUCCUACUCAUGCUUGCACUCAAUGUUAGUUAAUCUCAAUGCAUUUUGAUGACUGUUGUCGCUCUCUAGUUGGUCGGUUCCCAGUCUUUUGCUAGCCUUCACUUGUACUAAGCGGGAAUACUGCUUGUGCAUCCACUUCCAUAAACCCAAAGUUGUUCCAUAUGAGUCCACCAUACCUACCUAUGUGCGGUAUCUACCUGCCGUUCCAAGUAAAUUUGCAUGUGCCACUCUCUAAAUCUUCAAGAAAUAAUCUGUUUUGCAUGCCCGAACCACUCAUGUGGUGACAGGGGGCUAUUGGUAUCUUCCAUGCUAGGCGUGUUAUCCUCGAUAUGUGUUUAUUCACUAUCAUUCACGAGAAAGGGGCCGGUAAUUGGAAUUCCCAGUUCCAUGCUCAAAUCAAAAAGAUAAUUGCAAACAAAACUCCCCCAGGAUUGAUGUUGGUAUGGACGGUACCCGAGGAUUCGGCUAGCCGUGGAGUGUGAUUAAUUGGUAGUGGGGGAGUCAAAACUUUACUUUUCUAUUUGGGAACAGCCUAUAGCAUGUGUAGCGUGGAAGAUGUUGAGAACUCUUAGUCAUUGCGUUGACAAUGAGAGCAUGCCACCCAAAAUUAUUAUCUUGUUUUAAAAGCUUGAGCUCUAGCACCUCUGCAAAUCAAUGCUUCCCUCUGCGAAGGGCCUGUCUAUUUAUGUUCCUGUCGAGUCAUCCUCCUCUUAUAAAAGCACCAAUGAGGGAGCACCUCUGUCAUUUUUAUGCUUUGCUUUUAACUGUGUUGAGGAUGAUUGUGACUGGAUCUUCUUUGCCAUGAGUUACAAUGUUUAGUCAGCCCUUGGUCUUUGAAGGUGCUCUGCAUUUAUGUUUUGCAGUCUCAGAUAGAGCUAGCGAGAUACCACCUCUUCGUACUGCUUCAUGUCGUUUUGAUUGAAGUGUUGGCAUUUGAGGCUUAUUAUCAUUUUCUCGCUAGUUGAUUAUGCCAUUGAUAUGAGUUUACCGUGAGACCUAGAUGUCAUUUGCUUAUGUGGUUUGCUUGUGAUCUUGCUGAAAUUCUGGUUAUGAGUUAGACCUAGUUGCAACAACAAGAUCAAACAGAGUUCGUCAAAGUUUUCCUUUUGUCUCUUUCAGUUUGUCAACUGAAUUGCUUGAGGACAAGCAAGGCUUUAAGCUUGGGGGAGUUGAUACGUCUCCGUUGUAUCUACUUUUCCGAACUCUUUUGCCCUUGUUUUGGACUCUAAUUUGCAUGAUUUGAAUGGAACUAACCCGGACUAACGCUGUUUUCAGCAGAAUUGCCAUGUGUUGUUUUUGUGCAGAAAUAAAAGUUCUCGGAAUGACCUGAAAAUUUACGGAGAAUUUUUCUGGAAUUAAUGAAAAAUACCUGCGCAAAGAUCCACCGGAGGGGGUGAGCCAGUGGGCCACAAGCCUAGGGGGCGCAACCACCCCACCUGGCCGCACCGUGAGGGCUUGUGGGGCCCACGAGGCUCCACCGCCUCCAAUCUCAGCUCUAUAUAUUCCAUUUCGCCCAGAAAAAAAUCAGGGAGAAGUAUUCAUCGCGUUUUACGAUACGGAGGUGCCGCCACCUCCUGUUCUUCAUCUGGAGGAUAGAUCUGGAGUCCGUUCUCGGCUCCGGAGAGGGGAAAUCGUCGCCAUCGUCAUCAUCAACCUUCCUCCAUCGCCAAUUCCAUGAUGCUCUUCACCAUUCGUGAGUAAUCUCAUUGUAGGCUUGCUGGACGGUGAUGAGUUGGAUGAGAUCUAUCAUGUAAUCGAGUUAGUUUUGACGGGGAUUGAUCCCUAGUAUCCACUAUGUUCUGAGAUUGAUGUUGCUACUACUCUGCCAUGCUUAAUGCUUGUCACUAGGGCCCGAGUGCCAUGAUUUCAGAUCUGAACCUAUUAUGUUGUUGCCAAUAUAUGUGUGUUUUAGAUCCUAUCUUGCAAGUUAUAGUCACCUACUAUGUGUUAUGACCCGGCAACCCCGGAGUGACAAUAGCCGGAACCACUCCCGGGGAUGAUCAUAGUAUGAGGAGUUCAUGUAUUCACCAAGUGUUAAUGCGUUGGUCUGGUUCUUUAUUAAAAGGAGAACCUUAAUAUCCCGUAGUUUCCAUUAGGACCCCGCUGCAACGGGAGGGAUGGACAAUAGAUGUCAUGCAAGUUCUUUUCCUAAGCACGUAUGACUACAUACAUGCCUACAUUAGAUUGACGAACGGGAGUUAGUUACUUAUCUCUCCGUGUUAUAGUUGUUACAUGAUGAAUCACAUCCGGCAUAAUCAUGCAUCACCGAUCCAAUGCCUACGAGUCUUUUACUACCGGUCCUUGCUACGUUGCUUUGCCGCUACUGCUGUUACUGCUGCUACUGUUACUCUGUUGCUAUUGCUAUUACUUUGUUGCUACUGCUGUCACUACUUCUGUUACUUGCUAUUGCUGUCACUACUGCUGUUACUUGCUGCUUUGCUGUUACCUGCUGGAAGACUUUUCUGGUGCCAUUGAUACAACAAGUCAGGAAUAGUCUACCAUCAACAGACCAUUUUCUGGCACCGUUGCUAUCAUACUACUUUGCUACAAAAGCUUUGCUUACAGACACUAAUCUUUCAGGUGUGGUUGAAUUGACAACUCAACUGCUAAUACUUGAGAAUAUUCUUUCGCUUCCCCUUGAGUCGAAUCAAUAAAUUUGGGUUGAAUACUCUACCCUCGAAAAGUGUUGCGAUCCCCUAUACUUGUGGGUUAUCAACCCCCUCUUAAUAGUACGACUUUCCUACGACUCAAAUCCACCAAAGAGAAACGUAGAAAGCAAUCGUCUUCGAGAGAUUCCAAGGGGCAUAGAAUCGUCUUGUGCCUAGAUAUGAAUUAUCUGAAAUGCUCAAUGCAGACGAUUAGUUCGCAGAUGCAUUGUAAUCAAUCACUAAAACCACUUAGGAAGAUAUAUGCCCUGACUCCACCGUCGUCCACGACUAAAUAUUCGGACCACCUAGGGGAUCCCCUCCUCCCUAGGCAGUCUGGUGACCCUGCCUAGCCAUGGCAAGCCUGCCCCAUCCCCGUUCCUCCCUAGAGCACCGCGCGCAGCUGCACCAAAGAUGACCGACGGCAACCCCCGCGGUCUCCUGCGCCAGCACCCCCACAACCCUCCCGUGUGGGCGCACCACGCCAAGCAAAGGCGGAGCAACCCCGCGAGCCCGUCGGCAUGAGUAGCAGCGCUAGGGAUGGCCUGUGCCACCGGGGGAAAGCGCCGGAGCGGCUCGAACUCCUCUAGCCUCCCGUGCCUCCUCUGUUGCGCGAGAGGUAGGGGAGGAUCUGCCAGGUGGGGCCGACCUGUAAGUGGUUGUGGCCCGGCCCCCACGGGUUUAAGUGGAGGCACCCAUCGCUCAUCCUGCCUUCCCACAUGGAAGGCACACUAUCGGAAGUGCGCCUUCGGUGUCACCGGCUCCCGUGGGGCUAAGGAUGAUGGGCCGGCCCAGUCGCUAUCUAGCGUCCUGUGGGCACUUUAGCCCAAUGGGUAAGCUUUUCCCAUUUUCUAUUUUUACAGAAACUAGUAAAAUCCAUGAUAAAUCCAUUUUAACUACAAAAUGUUGAUUCAAAUUUCUACACAAUCCUAAAAUCCUUACCUAUCCAAAUAUAUGCCUUCAACAUUUUUCCAGAUCUACUUUGUGUAGUAUUAAUAUUCAAAUACAAAUUUGAAUAUUUCAAACCCACCUUGCAAAACUCCUACAAAGCUCAGAUCAACUCCAAAUGAAGUGAUUCCAAUUUCUAGGUGCGCUAAAUAUCAUGCACUAUUUUUCCAGCCUGAGUCAACAUUUUUCUUUAGCAUUGUUUCUGCUAGGUCAAUUUAAUAGCCCCCUUUUCCAUUUAUUCCAUAUUAUGAAACCCCUAGAAUAUUCAUACCAACUCUAAAUCAAGUGAAACCACUUCCUAAAUAUUUCUAAAAUCAUGCCCUAUUAAAUGAGUGCCUCCACUCAUUUUUAGCAGAACAUUUUCUAUAGACUUCUUGUGGGGCUAGUGAUGCCUCCAUUUCCACUAUUCAAAAAUCUCUCAUGAGCCAAAUCCCUUAGAACGACUUUAUGCAUUUUUCUUAUGACCAGGGAUGUCUAAGAGUAAUAGAACUCCUAUUUAUAGAGCACUUUGUGUUCUGCUUGUUGUGUGGCUUAUCGUUGUUGUUUUCCAUGAUAGUUGGCGAAAUAAGCGGAGUACUCGGAGUUGGACCGAAAGACCUCGAAGACCUCGAAGACCCUGGAGACCUAUUUGAGAAAGGCAAGCAGCCCAUUGACCAUGUCUGAGAAAAUAGUUUCAUGCAUGCCAUGUUUAUUAUUUCAUUCUGAUGCAUGUGAUCAUGAUUGAAUCGGUAAACUCCUCGGUAUGGUGUUUUUUAUGAUUCCUUGAUAACAUUCGCAUUUGAGCAUGACCUUACCACCUAUGGGGGUCACGCGGAUAAAAAAUUGAUAGGUUGCUAGGAGUGCUACACAUAGGAUGAGCAUAUGCAUGGUGAUGGUGACACGGAGGUGAUUUCAAAGGCUUUUUAAAAACCCCGUCGGGUGCCACUAAUGCCCGAGGGUGAUGGUGUUGAGAUGGUGACCACUUGAGAAGGAAGUUGUGUACCAGAAAAAGGCUUUGUGUGUGUUGUUUCGAAAACAAGGACACAUUUAAGAUGUGUCGACUAUCCCAACCUUACAUAUGCGAUCACGAUGUUUCCAUUUAAUGAAACAAUUAGUAUACAAUUUUCGGUUACGUUCGCAUAUAUUAUUUUUGUAAAAAAAUAAUGUUCGUAUAUCUUGAACAUAAAUCUGAUAAUGUUUUGUAGCAAAGUACUUUAAGGCAUGUUUUGGAAUGGUUUACUUAUCAGUUUAAUCAGCGACAACAUAAGUGGAAUUGUUCAGCAGUAUUAGCUAUAGCUAGAUACACCUGGCUGCAAAUAUUUGAUGUGUGUCCAGGCAAAGACAAAUGUGGGUGAUAUCUAGAUAUGAAGUGAGGCACAAAAUAUUUAUGUCUUAACUAGUACAAAUGCCCGUGCGUUGCAACGGGCGUUAAAUUUAAUAGUACUUAGUCCUUUUUAUUAACACUUUUUAUAUUCAGUCUUCACUAACGUUAGUAAACAUGUGUCCUUGAAAUACGUAACAAAAAUACCUGAUGUUAAGCUGACUUGGGAGCUUAGAAGCUUAAUUGAACCAAAGGUAUCUGCAAGACGAUGUGUGAAACUAGUUCUAUUUAAUUGAACUGAAGACUUGAGAUCGUGUAAGAAUCACGUAGAGAUACAUGUGUAUUUGUAGCACCAACGAUGCCUGCCUUCAAGUAGGUUUCGGCCUUCUGUAUGUCUCUAAUUAGGAUUUAGACUCCUGUAUGUAUCUAAGUAAUCAGACUCUUUCAUUGCGUAUAUUUUUUUGAGUGUUAUUUUGAUACCAAGUCAGACUGACUAUGGCAUGUACAUGUACAUAGUCCGGUACGAUGUGGCUCUGGAGGUGAAUGUGGUGGGGGUGAGACACAUGUGCGAUAUCUGCAUGGUCUGCUUCAUCUUCGAGACGCAGGGUGUGCUAAAAGCACGUGCUAGAAUAGUGAGACACUGCGUGACGAUGGGACUUACCUUGCAGAAUGAAGCUGAACUUCUGAAUAACUGUUUAACAUCUAACGUAAUAAGCUGCAUUUUUGCCACCUUCCAUUCGCAGAAUGGGCUGUUAACAAACCAUCCAAAUUCCCAUAUAUACAAUACACCGAGUUGCUUAUUGGAGUUUGAUAUGUAUUGUUUGGAGAGUGGACCUUGUGUGGUCUGUAGUUGUCGAGAUGUUCCGUAUUCAAGAAUUAAGCUUGAAAGCCUCAAGUUUGAGACCAAAUUUACUGACAAGUGGAUAAUAGUAAAAUGUACUUGAAGCUUUAUUAUACAGUCAUUGACCAUGAGCAGGACAGUGGUGCUUCGUAUGUGGAUUGUUGUGAAAUAGGGACUUAGAUGGAAGCGUCAUGCAUGUCCAAAGUCAUCUAAAAGCGACUCCUCAAAAUUUUUCUUCCGCUCUUGGUUCCAUCAAUUUAAAUAAACCAAAUGCUAAUUAUUUAAGCAAAGAGUGUACAAGGUUCCGGUGGUUGUUGGCAAAGGACCGCACGCGUUGCAUCAAUUUUUUUCUAACUUAUAUCAGUACCACGGUUUCAUUUUACAAUAAAAAAAACUCAGGAGGGUUUCUGCAAAACGCCACGACGGACUAACUUUUUUGUAACUUAUAUCAGUACCGCGGGUUAUUAAAGGACCGCACGCGUUGAAUCAUUUUUUUCUAACUUAUAUCAAUACCACGGGUUCAUUUUACAAUAAAAACUUAGGAGGGUUUCUGCAAAACGCCACGACGGACUAAUUCUUUUGUAACUUAUAUCAGUACCGCGGGUUCAUUACAAUAAAAAGUCGGAAGGGUUUCUGCACACGCCACGAUGGAUUAAGAAUACCUAUUUCUUUUAUUAAUAGGUAUAGAUAUGUAUAUAACAUAAUUACCCGUGCGUCCUAACCGGAAGUAAAAUUUAAUGAAAUUUAAAUGUGCAAAAUACAUUUAUUUGGUAGGCAAUAUCCUCUAUAUUUUAUUAUGGUUUUGAACAAUCAACUCCAAAAUUAAAUAUUAAACCGUGCAAUUAAAGGUCAACUUUGUCCUACCCACCUCUCGCACCAAUUGGGCUGUGCCCAUUCCAUGUGGUAAUCCCUGGUGGUCUUGGCGUUGAUCAUGAUGGCCAAAACAUUCUAAAAAUAGUAGGCUCAACUGGGUUACAAUAGAGAAACAAUAUUAAAAAGAAAAAAUGACAUGAAAAUCGAUGGUGCAAAAGCCAGAUCAGAAACAUGAUGAGAAGAAUCGUAAAUUCACAAGCUAAUUAAUCACCUCUACGUCCGUACCUACGCAUUCAUCAUACAUGCAUAAUCACCUGUAUCUACACAUCCAUCACGCAUGCCUAAUCACCUGAACGGCAAGCAGUAGCCACAAAUUCAUCACACAUACCUAAUCACCAGGAGCUACAACUCCAUCUGUGCAUACAUGCUUUGAAAAAUCUCAGCCUAAGAAGAACCAUAGAUCUCGUCGCAAAAAUGAAAAAAAAAGAACAACCAUAGAUCGUAUCAAGAUAGAAGGGAAACCAACGGGUGGAUGUAGAAAAUCUAGAGCACAUCACGCCUCAAAUUACACAUGCAUGCUAACGCAAUUGACCGCUCCUUCUGCUAAAAACUGCAUUGAACCGCUCCCCACCGCGUGCCCCUCCAUGUGACUUGCUUUCCAGAUUAGUUACCUCCCCGCCACUGCUCAUGCCUGCCGCCCAUGUCCGACGAGCUUGCAGGUGGAAGACCCAACCCUCACACACCUGAUAUAUGACGAGGGGUAGAGGAGGAGCAGCAUCCUGGGGAGCAGCCAAUCUAUAAAGCCACAAUGGGAGCGCAGGGAAUUCGCUGCUGACCAAUGCCAUAUCUGCCAGCAACAUCCGUUCACAUGGUUCACACGAGCUCAGAUCCGGCAACGACUAUGAUAGCAUCGUACAGGGUGGCGCGCGUGCGAGUAGCAAUUUACCUGACGCCGCCAUCCCGUUUCUCACCGACGAACUUGUCGGCAGCGGCGGAUAGCUUGAGGUGACUCUCGUCGGGAACCGUUCUUCUCAUCCCAAUGAUUUUCUCCACACAUCGUCUUUGUGAAGCCUCCUUCUCUUUCUCGUAGGAGCCAAAAGUGCAGAAGUGCGUUGGCUGGCGACGAGCGGCGCAACCAAGGGAAACUCGUGAGGGAGGGAGCAAAGGAGAUCUCAAGUCUCUACUCGCGAUCUUGGUGGUGUGGAGCCGCAUCGCAACGAACUCUCACACGAUUCGUUGUCCAUUGGAUCAUGGUGUUUUCACGCUUGAUUGAUUGAUCGUGUACGAAACGUUUUUACUACGGGUUAAUUCCCUUAAUUAUUAAAGAGUUUUCUAUAAAAUUAAUGACGGACUAAGAAUACCUAUUUCUUUUACCCAUCGGGAUCUAGAGUCGUUGUGUUGCUCUGAAAGGUUAGUAGUAUACAUUAGUCCUAUAAAAGCAUGUACAUCCGGGCACUCCAUAUCUGAUCCGGGCAGACGACUUCGUUCCUAAUCGGUUAAAAAAUCCGAUCCACACGAGCUCGUCAAACGGACCUCAAACAUCUGGGUUGACCGGGAUCUCUUAUAUCCAGCCCAAAUAUGUGGCGGAUAUGGAAAGGUCUGGACGCGUCUGUCACGUCGGACCUAACUCAAUCACAAAUUGCACCAAAUACACCAAACCCUUUCCUUCCUCCCGCCUCCCUCCAACCUUUUUCUUGUCAGGUCCCUCACUGUCCAGCACCCUUUCUCCUCAUCCUCGCCACCGGCCCCGAUCUGUCGUCCUUGAUGUUGUCCAUCCCAUCACCGAUUGGCGCGAUCAAGACUGCACCUACCUCGUCAAUCGGCGUCCCAUCAUCGGCUUCGUUGUGCAAGUCGGAGAACAUCGCCCGGAGGGACUGGCGACAGAGACGGCAAGAGAGGGAAGGGGCGGUGUUGUAGGGAGCAUAUGAGACAUGAACAAACAACUGUCACCCCUCCCCCCUAUGGCGCCUAGGACCCUGCACCCCAUGCAACCGCCAAAAAGGAUUGAAAGGAUGGCCUUGAAGAAGGUGGCAUGGAUGACGUCCGACGAGUGAUCCGGCCAACCAUCGGGCGAUCCGUCAUGCUCGAACAUUGAUCUCAUUUUGACAUGUCCGGAUUGUUGAGCUAUGAUUUGUUUUGCUUUUUCAUAUUUGUUUUUAACUAUUGAAUUCGGAUAAUUUGUAUCGUAUGAUCGACGUGUAUGGACUUUAUGGAUUUGAGGGUUCGCAUUUGAAUUGUGUGGAUGUGCGGCAACCUAAAUGAGAGGCCGCCCGACAAUGAGUGCGGAAGCGUCCGCGGGCUUAUAAGGGACCGGAUUUGUCAAGUUCAGUUGUAGAUGCUCUGAGUUUUUUAAUUAUAAUUAAAUUAUGUGCCUAUAUAUGUUCCUAUUCGUUUGUGUUGUACACAACAAUGAAGAAGAGAAAAGGGUUGUUGGAAUUUUUGAGGGAAUGCCAUCAUGAUGGUUUAUAUUUCAUGUGAAAACAGGCUUACAUCAUUUGAUAGAACAUCAAUCAAAAAGUUCGGAGGCUUCGGUUGCGAAACAAUAGUACUGGAGCACUCUGAUUUAUACAAGCUAAAACAUCUGCCGUCAUAUUGGUCUCCUAGGGCAAUGAUUAAAACUAACCAAAGAGAAAAGGGUUGUUUGUUUUGUCAUUAUUAGGCACAUCUCCAAGCGAAAUAGAUCAGCUGACGUAGUUGAUUUCAAACAGAGUUCUUUGAUUUAUUACAUCACAUAUGUGCACGUAUUGCCCUCACAAUAUAAUUUUUAUGGCGAAUAUUACAAUAACCAUUUAUACAAUGUAAAUUAGGCGUACGCAUGCACGUGCAUUCAUUCCCCAAGAGGCCAAGAGUAGAGCAAAGGAAUCCACUUCAAAUAAAGCAACGCCAACUUAUAGACAGUAAUUAACACUAAUCCCUCAUAUAAACUGGAUUAAAGUAGGCCAAUCGGCAUCGUCAUCCUGACCAGAUAGGCACGAGGUCGAUGACCACGUGGCCGUCUCGGUCCACGUGGCGGCGGGCACGGCCUGGCUGUGGCCGCGCAUGUGCCCGCCGAGCGCCUGCCGCGUGGGGAACGCCUGGCCGCACGUGCCGCACCGGUGCAACUGCACCGGGGCCGUCGCCUUGCCUGGGCGGGCGCCGAGCAGGAGAUCGAGGCCGUGCGCGCGCACCCGCGGCCGCUUGUGGCUGGUCCGGUGGCCGCCCAGCGCCUGGAACGUGGCGAACCGGCGGCCGCACGUCCGGCACUCGUAGGCGCCGCCGCCGGCCUGCAGCUGUACCCACUUAUUCUUACCGAUCACCCUGCUAGACGCUGCCGGCGAAGAUAGCUUCCGCAGCAGUUCUAUGAACGUGAUCGGCGCCCGUGUAUCAGCACUGGCCACGUCCAUUGGUGUACUAGCUAGCUAAAUCAACGUGUACACGUGCUGCUUACAGACGCUUUGCUAUCUACUACCAAUUGCCAAUAUAACUGUGGAAUGUUUUAGAGUGAGACAAAUGCACUGCUUAUAUAUAGGGCGCGAAGCGUUCAUGCCGGGGGUUUAGUUGGAUAUGGCUCGAUCCGUUAUUAAUGAGCUAAGCUAAUACGAGUAUAAUGUUGACGAGAGUCAAGGUCAAGAUGGUUUAUGAAUGCAAGUGUUGGAACAUGUGGCAGCCCGGAAAU
rnacentral:lncRNA from 1 species